UGUUUUUUGUUUUUGUUUCUGUUUAGUAAUAAAUUUUGUAUCUACCUUCUGCUUAGAUGUGUUUCCAUGUUUUAUUUAGUGUUUGUGCCAAGUAGAACCUAUAGGAUAACCUAUGGUGAUAGUUAAUUUGAUUCUGCUGAAAAACAGAAACUUUGUGCUCACGAAAAAAAUUCAAUAAAUCACAAAAACAUGAUUUUGCAUUGAUUCAUUUUGCUGUAGAUCAAUAGAAACAUUUUACAGGACGUCCUAUUUUGGUAGGAUUUUUAGAGUUCCAUAAGUGUUCGAAAGUUACGGAUUGCUACAGACUGUUCUGUUUUUGACAGAUUCUGCCUUCUCUGUGUUGUUUGCUUAUUUUGAUGCAUCUAUGGCUAACAAGUAAGGGUAUGAACCAUAGAGAACUUGGAAUACAGUAGGUUUAACACCAAUAUAAAUAAAGAAUGAGUUCAUUACAGUACCUUAUGUGGUGGUUUUUCUUUCUUUCACUAAUGGAGCUUAUGAGAUUUCCUGUUGAGUUUUGUGUUGUGAAGUUUUCAAGUUUUGGGUAAAGGUUUGAUGGACUAUGGAAUAAGGAGUGGCAAGAGCCUAAGAUUGGGGAUUCACAUGGCACCCCAAGAUAUUCCAGAAUAGCCAAAAGCCUAAGCUUGUGGAUGCCCCGGAAGGCAUCCCCUCUUUUGUCUUCGUUUAUCGGUAACUUUACUUGGAGCUAUAUUUUUAUUCGCCACAAGAUAUGUGUUUUGGUUGGAGCGUCUUGUAUGAUAUUAGCCUUUGCUUUUUAGUUUACCACAAUCAUCGUUGCUGUACACACCUUUUGGGAGAAGCCCACUUGAUUAGAAUUUAUUAGAAUACUCUAUGUGCUUCACUUAUAUCUUUUGAGCUAGAUAGUUUUUGCUCUAGUGCUUCACUUAUAUCUUUUAGAGCACAGCGGUGGCUUAAUUUUGAAAAAAUUGUUGAUCUCUCAUGCUUCACUUAUAUUAUUUUGAGAGUCUUUUAGAACAGCAUGGUAUUUUCUAUGGUUAUAAAUUUGGUCCUAGAAUGAUGAGCAUCCAAGUUGGGUAUAAUAAAAACUAUCAUAGAAAGUGCAUUAAACACUAGGAUCAAUUCGAUGUUUAAUAAUUGUUUUGAGAUAUAAAGGUGGUAAUGUUAGAAGUCAAGUUAGUGGGUAAUUAUGAAAUUGAGAAAUACUUGUGUUGAAGUUAGCAAGUCCCGUAGCAUGCAUGUAUGGUAAAAGUUGUGUGACAAAUUUGGUGCAUGAAGUACUCUUUUGAUUGUCUUCCUUAUGAGUGGCAGUCGGGGACGAGCGACGGUCUUUUCCUACCAAUCUAUCCCUCUAGGGGCAUGCGUAGUAGUACUUUGCUUCGAGGGCUAAGUAGACUUUUGCAAUAAGUAUAUGAGUUCUUUAUGACUAAUGUGAGUCCAUGCAUAUACGCACACUCACCCUUCCACUUUGCUAGCCUCUAUUGUGCCGCGCAAAUUUCGCCGGUAUCAUGCACCCAUUAUUUACCUUCCUCAAAACAGCCACCAUACCUACCUAUUAUGGCAUUUCCAUAGCCAUUCCGAGAUAUAUUGCCAUGCAACUUUCCACCGUUGCGUUAUUAUGACACGCUCCAUCAUUGUCAUAUUGCUCAUUGCAUGAUCAUGUAGUUGACAUCGUAUUUUUGGCAAAGCCACCUUCAUAAUUUUCAUACAUGUCACCCUUGAUUCAUUGCAUAUCCCGGUACACCGCCGGAGGCAUUCAUAUAGAGUCAUAUUUUGUUCUAAGUGUUGAGUUGUAAUUCUCGAGUUGUAAAUUAAUAAAAGUGUGAUGAUCUUCAUUAUUAGAGCAUUGUCCCAAGUGAGUAAAGGAUGAUGAAGACUAUGAUUCCCCCACAAGUCGGGAUGAGACUUCGGACUUUAUAAAAAUAAAAGAGGUCAAAGAAGCCAAAAAGAGGCCAAAGAAGCCCACCAAAUAAAAAAAGAAAAGAAAAAGAAAAAGAAAAAGGAAAGAAGAAAAAUGAAAAGAGAGAAAAGAGAGAAGGGACAAUGCUACUAUCUCUUUUCCACACUUGUGCUUCAAAAUAGCACCAUGAUCUUCAUGAUAGAGAGUCUCUUGUGUUGUCACUUUCAUAUACUAGUGGGAAUUUUUCAUUGUAGAACUUGGCUUGUAUAUUCAAAUGAUGGGCUCCUCAAAAUGCCCUAGGUCUUCGUGAGCAAGCAAGUUGGAUGCACACCCACUUAGUUUCUUUUGUUGAGCUUUCAUACAUUUAUAGCUCUAGUGCAUCCGUUGCAUGGCAAUCCCUGCUCACUCACAUUGAUAUCUAUUGAUGGGCAUCUCCAUAGCCCAUUGAUACGCCUAGUUGAUGUGAGACUAUCUUCUCCCUUUUUGUCCUCACAACCACCACCAUAUACCACCAUAGUGCCAUUUCCAAGGCUUACGCUCAUGUAUUGCAUAAGAGUUGAAAAAAGCUGAAGGGCGUUAAAAAGUAUGAACCAAUUGCUUGGCUCGUCGUUGGGGUUGUGCGUGAUGGGAGUAUUUUGUGUAAUGAAAAUGAAGCAUGGCCUAACUAUAUGAUUUUGUAGGGAUAAGCUUUCUUUGGCUUUGCUAUAUUGAUAGGACAUGAUUAUUUGUUAGUAUGCUUUGAGUAUUACUAUUUUUUUAUGUUUUAUAAGCUUUUAUCUUGAAUCAUUUGGGUCUGAACAAUCAUGCCACAAUAAAUAAAUUUACAUUGAGAAUUAUGCUAGGUAGCAUUCCACAUCAAAAAUUCUGUUUUUAUCAUUUACCUACUCGAGGACGAGCAGGAAUUAAGCUUGGGGAUGCUUGAUACGUCUCCAAUGUAUCUAUAAUUUUUUAUUGUUCCAUGCUAUUAUAUUACCUGUUUUGGAUGUUUAUGGGCUUUACUUUACACUUUUAUAUCAUUUUUGGGACUAACCUACUAACCGGAGGCCCAACCCGUAUUGCUGUUUUUUUUUGCCUAUUUCAGUAUUUCGAAGAAAAGGAAUAUCAAACGGAGUCCAAACGGAAUGAAACCUUCGGUACCAAUCUUUUUGGAACAAAUGCAAUCCAGAGGACUUGGAGUACAAGUCAAGAAGCAAUCAAGGAAGCCACGAGGGUGGAGCCCCCCCCCCCUGUUGGGCGCGCCCCCUGUCUUGUGGGCCCCUCGGGCGUCCACCGACGUACUUCUUCCUCCUAUAUAUACCCACGUACCCCGAAAACAUCAGAGGCGACCACGAAAAACUAUCUCCACCAUUGUAACCUUCUGUAUCCACGAGAUCCCAUCUUGGAGCCUUCGUCGGCGCUCCGCCGGAGGGGGAAUCGACCAUGGACGGCUUCUACAUCAACACCAUAUCCUCUCCGAUGAGUUGUGAGUAGUUUACCACAGACCUUCGGGUCCAUAGUUAUUAGCUAGAUGGCUUCUUCUCUCUCUCUUUGGAUCUCAAUACCAUGUUCUCCUUGAUCUUCUUGGAGAUCUAUUCAAUGUAACUCUUUUUGCGGUGUGUUUGUCAAGAUCCAAUGAAUUGUGGGUUUAUGAUCAAGUUUAUCUAUGAGAAAUAUUUGAAUCUCCUCUGAAUUGUUUUAUGUGUGAUUAAGUUCUCUAUGCAAGUCUCUUCAAAUUAUCAGUUUGGUUUGGCCUACUAGAUUGAUCUUUCUUGCAAUGGGAGAAGUGCUUAGCUUUGGGUUCAAUCUUGCGGUGUCCUUUCCCAGUGACAAUAGGGGCAGCAAGGCACGUAUUGUAUUGUUGCCAUCGAGGAUAAAAAGAUGGGGUUUAUAUCAUAUUGCAUGAGUUUAUCCCUCUACAUCAUGUCAUCUUUCAUAAUGCGUUACUCCGUUCUUUAUGAACUUAAUACUCUAGAUGCAUGCUGGAUAGUGGUCGAUGUGUGGAGUAAUAGUAGUAGAUGCAGGCAGGAGUCAGUCUACUUGGCACGGACGUGAUUCCUAUAUACAUGGUCAUGCCUAGAUAAUCUCAUAAUCAUUCGCUUUUCUAUCAAUUGCUCGAUAGUAAUUUGUUCACCCACCAUAAUAAUUAUGCUAUCUUGAGAGAAGCCACUAGUGAAACCUAUGGCCCCCGGGUCUAUCUCAUAUCAUAUAAGCUUGCUAUUUACUUUUAUUUCGCAUCUUUAUUUUCCAAUCUAUAUUAUAAAAUACCAAAAAUAUUUAUCUUAUCAUAUUAUCUCUAUCAGAUCUCACUUUCGCAAGUGGUCGUGAAGGGAUUGACAACCCCUUUAUUGCGUUGUUUGGGAGUUCUUGUUUGUUUGUGCAGGUGUUGGGACUUGUGAGGAGUCUCCUACUGGAUUGAUACCUUGGUUCACAAAAACUGAGGGAAAUACUUACGCUACUAUUGCUGCAUCACCCUUUCCUCUUCAAGGAAAACCAACGCAAUAUCAAGACGUAGCAACGCUUCACGUCGAGGACUUGGAGGAGUGCUUAUGCAAGAUGGAAGAGUUGUUUCAUAUGCCUCACGACGACUUCGACCUCAUGAGUUGAAUUAUGCUACGCAUGAUUUGGAGUUAGCAGCCGUAGUGCAUGCGCUCAAGACAUGGAUACAUUUUCUCACCGGAAACCGUUGUGAUGUUUAUACGGAUCAUAAGAGUUUGAAGUACAUCUUCACGCAGAAGGAGUUAAACCUCAGGCAAAGGAGAUGGUUGGAGCUCAUAAAGGAUUAUGAUAUGAGAUUGCAUUAUCAUCCGGGAAAGGCCAACGUCGUAGUUGAUGCGUUGAGCCGCAAGAGUUAUGUUAACACACUCAUGACCGGAGGAUUACCUAAGGAGUUAGCCAAUGAUCUUCGAGAGCUACGUUUGGAGAUAGUUCCAAGAGGUUAUGGUUGCAGCAUUGAAAAUUCAGUCCACCUUGUUGGGAAAGAUCAGAGAAGCCCAGAAGACAAACAAGGAGAUUGCAGAGAUAAAGGAAAGGAUGAGUAAAGGAAAGGCUAAAGGUUUUCGUGAGGAUGAGCACGAGACUUUAUGGUUUGAGGAUCGUAUCUAUGUGCCUAAUGACCCUGAGAUCAGGAAUUUGAUUCUUUAGGAGGCUCAUGAUUCACCUUAUUCAAUUCACCCACGCAACACCAAGAUGUAUCUGGAUUUGAAGGAAAGUUUCUGGUGGAUAAGAAUGAAGAAGGAUAUUGUCGAGUAUGUAGCAGUAUGCGAUGUAUGUCAGAGAGUUAAGGCAGAACAUCAGAAACCGGCAGGGUUAUUACAGCCUUUGCUGAUACCUGAAUGGAAGUGGGAUAAACUUGGCAUGGAUUUUAUCAGUCGAUUACCCAGGACCCGUUUAGGGUAUGACUCUAUCUGGGUUGUAGUUGAUCGUUUGACGGAAGUAGCCCAUUUCAUCCCUGUGAAGACAAUUUAUACAAGUGCUAAGUUGGUGAAGAUAUACAUGACCAGGAUCGUAUGUCUGCAUGGAGUUCCAAGGACCAUCAUAUCAGAUAGAGGAACACAGUUUAGUUCAAAGUUUUGGAAUCAGUUGCAUGAAACUUUGGGUACCAGGCUAGAGUUCAGUACAGCUUUUCAUCCACAGACAGAUGGACAGACCGAGAAAGUCAAUCAGAUUCUGGAGGACAUGUUGAGAGCUUGUGCACUAGAUUAUGGAUCUAGUUGGGAUGACAAUUUUCCCUAUGCAUAGUUCUCCUAUAACAACAGUUAUCAAGCCAGUUUGAAGAUGGCCCCUUUCGAAGCCUUGUACGGAAGGAGGUGCAGGACACUAUUAUCUUGGGGUGAAGUUGGAGAUAGACAGUUGUUCGGACCAGACUUAAUUAGAGAUUCUAAAGAAAAUGUUAAGUUGAUUCGAGACAGACUCAAGGUAGCCUAGUCCAGGCAGAAAAGUUAUGCAGAUACUAAACACAAGGAGGUAGCCUACAAAGUCGGAGACAGGGCAUAUCUUUGUGUGUCCCCACUUCGAGGAGUUAAACAUUUUGGAGUCAAGGGAAGGCUAGCACCACAUUUUGUGGGACCAUAUAGAGUUUGGAACGCAUGGGAGAAGUUGCGUACGAGUUGGAAUUGCCCAAAGGAUUGUCAGGAGUUCAUGAUGUGUUUCAUGUUUCCCAGUUGAAGAAGUGACACGCAGAGAUGGCCGACAUUCCUUUGAGAGAUACAGUGUCACUGGAAGGGAUUCAGCAGGAUAGUGAUCUGACCUAUGAAGAGAAGCCAGUCAAGAGUAUCGUGUUUUCCAGCCGAGUUACUCGUAGCAAGGUUAUCAAGUUUUGCAAACUUCAGUGGAGCCACCAUACCGAGGAGGAAGCAACCUGGGAGCGAGAAGAAGACCUCCGCAAGGACCACCCACACCUUUUUGCUGACAACCCGAAUCUCGAGUGCGAGAUUCAUCUUAAGGGGGGUAGGUUUGUAACGUCCCAAUUUUCAAUUUGGAUGUUAUACCUAGAUCAUUCAUAUGCAUUUCAUAUUUUUUGGUUGUGGUCCAAGAAAUCUUAAGCAAAUCUAGGACCCAAGGAGAGAGUUGGAGGUUUCAUAAAACUUUCAUUUUUGAAUUUAUUUCAAAUUUGCAAAGUGGAUCAAUUUGAUUUUCAACAAUUUCUUUCCAAUUAUUUCCAACAAUAAAAAUAAAUGAGAGAAAUGACUUCUCCAAAACAGAGAAGAAAUAUUGGAAAAGAAAUUUUGAAAUCAAAUUACUAUUUUAUUUGCAAUUUUAUUUGAAUUAGAGAAAAACAUGCAUUUUAAAAAAAUUGCAUUUAGUCCAGAAAAAUGUUCAUCUUGUCCCAAAUAUUAGGUAGGGACAGUGAAAAUUGUUUCUAAAAUUUUUAGAAGUUUAUUUUUAUUUAUUAGGAUUUUCUUCAUAGAAAUCGUUUUUAAAAAAAAGUUUCUGGGCCCGCCCAGCCGCAGCCGGGUCACGGCCCAAUCGCAUCGCCGCCUUCCUCCGCUCGGGAGGAGUCCCGCACUGAGCUGCGAGAGGAGUCCGAUCCAGACUCCUCAUCGCCGCCGUCCGCGUCGCCCCUCGUGCAAGCCACCGCCGCCCCCUCCCCUCUUUAUAAGGAGCCGGACCCCUCCCCCUCUUCUGCAAGUCGCCGCCGCCUCNNNNNNNNNNNNNNNNNNNNNNNNNNNNNNNNNNNNNNNNNNNNNNNNNNNNNNNNNNNNNNNNNNNNNNNNNNNNNNNNNNNNNNNNNNNNNNNNNNNNNNNNNNNNNNNNNNNNNNNNNNNNNNNNNNNNNNNNNNNNNNNNNNNNNNNNNNNNNNNNNNNNNNNNNNNNNNNNNNNNNNNNNNNNNNNNNNNNNNNNNNNNNNNNNNNNNNNNNNNNNNNNNNNNNNNNNNNNNNNNNNNNNNNNNNNNNNNNNNNNNNNNNNNNNNNNNNNNNNNNNNNNNNNNNNNNNNNNNNNNNNNNNNNNNNNNNNNNNNNNNNNNNNNNNNNNNNNNNNNNNNNNNNNNNNNNNNNNNNNNNNNNNNNNNNNNNNNNNNNNNNNNNNNNNNNNNNNNNNNNNNNNNNNNNNNNNNNNNNNNNNNNNNNNGCCACCCGCCGUCCGCGCCGAUGCCGCCGCCUUGCCGAGCCUCGCCGGAGCCGCCGCCCGCCUCGCCCGACGCCGCCGUUGCCUGAUCGGCCUCCGCCGCCGAACCGGUAAAAACCGAUGGUUUCUCCGGUUCUUUUCGGGGGUUUUUCGGUUAGUUAGGUUAGGUCGGUUUUUCUUUUUAUUUUAGUUUAGUUAGCAAACGUUCACCCAUUAGUUUAUUUUAACGAACGAAUUCGUUCGUUAGGUUCUGUUAGCGAAUGUUCGUUCUGUAGAUUUUUUUUAAUUUAUUUUCGGCCAGGACCUAUCGGUGAAUAGUUUUAUCGCGAUUUAGCCCCUGAUCUUAAAAGUCGCGUAACUUUUUGGUCGUUUAUCCAAAUUAGAUGAAACCAACGCCUAAAUCUUCGUAGCAAUCCCUUCUUUCCAGUAAACCAACUUGAACAUGAUUUUGAGAAUUUAAAAUUUAAGUUUAGUUCAGAUUAGUAUCGAUCUUGUUUCGUUUGUAUCUUGAGUUUCGUAACUCCGUUUGAGUUGUUUCUUUUUGCAAAUCACAGCUAAUCACAUGUACGUAUUGUUAAAAUCUAAUCCACAUGAAAAUAAUGUUUUUAUGUUUUGUUUUCUGUUUAGAUUAGCCGUUUGCUUGUUUCGAGUUUGAUUUGGUUAUUUUCUUGAUUUCUCUUUGUUUUGUUUGAGUGAUUGCUUAUGUGCUACUGUUUGUCUAUGCUAGAUUACCCAGAGUGUGAAGCUUGUUACUAUGAAUCCCUAGAGUUUGCAGAUUGUCAGCAAGGCAAGUUACACUUUGAUCAUACUCUUCUAUACCCAGUCUUUUUUACUUUGCAUUAGUUAUGCCCCUCAAAUAUUUGCAUGAAUAGGAUUGGGAACAUGUGGUUUGGUUGUAGUACUUGAGGUAGGAACCUAAUACCUUUUGAUCACCCCGGGAAUAUAUGUUAUGCCCAAUUAUUGCUUAGCCAUGCUCGUAGACGGGGAUUGGAUCGUGAUACACAUGGAAGUUGUGAGAGUUAUUAAUCUUGGAUAACAUUAAUGUGGCAACUUUAAUACACAUCUGGGUGGAUUGGUUGGGGCACCUAGAGAAUCUAGUGUUUGUCCGUUUGAGAAAUCCCGGAGUACCCGUAUGAUUUUUCCUCGGUUCGCCACCCAGGCUCAAAGGGAUCGUAUGAUAUUUCAUGCCUAGAAACUUCCGUGUGCAGCCACAAGCCAUUAUGGGCUCUCGCAUAGUUGACUAAGUUGCGUGAGCUCUCGAAGAGGUGGACUAGCACAUGUAGGGGAAACUAGGUGUACCGGUCUGCCCGGAGUAGAGUAUUAAUGCUUUAGAAAGACUAUGUCUCGAUCUUCCGAUCAUGGAUGCGGUCGAGUCUUGUGGGGAAAAGUGUGCAACCUCUGCAGAGUGUAUAAGUUAGUCGUGUCCCUAGUUAUGGACAUCUUGAGUAUCUAGAAUUGGAUAUUAUUGUUUAUCUCAUCACUCUUUAAUUUAAUUGAAUUGGGUUUAAUGAUGAUACUUGUUUAAUUGGGAUUUGAGUUGGAGGAACCUUCUCAAAUAUUGGUACAACUUGGGAGUAGUAAAUAAAUUUAUUCCUUUGUUGUAGGGAAAAAGUAGCUUUAUGCAAAAUCUUUAAACUUAGAGCCUCCACCAGCCAAAUAUUGCAUGUAGAUGUAGUUCUUGCAUUCAUUUGCUUUAUAGUGUAACUCUGCCAGCAUAUUCCAUGUGCUGACCUACACGGCUGCAACGUCUCAUGUUGCAGACUUCUCAGGCGACGAAUAAGAUGCGAUAGGUCGUUGUCAUGCACUCAGCUAUGUCGUUGGAGUUGAUGGACUCAUUUACCUUCGAAGCUUUUGCAGUUAUUUAGUUUAGAUGACCUUCAACCAUAUUAUUUGUGUAAUCAUACUCUUUAUGAGGACCUCGAUGUAAUAAGUGUGUGAUUGAACUCUGCUAUAAUUCCUCGAGUACUGUGUGUGUCAGCAUUACCGAUCCAGGGAUGGCACUUAAGCACAGAGACUUCGGUCCAUUGGGAUCAUGGUCGCUACACUUUUGUGACAACACUGGAGCUAUUUCCCUUGCCAAAGAGCCCAGGUUUCACAAGAAGACCAGGCACAUCAUGCGUCGCUUCAACUCCAUUCGUGAAUAUAUUCAAGAUGGAGACAUAGAUAUUUGUAAAGUGCAUACAGAUCUGAAUGUCGCAGAUCCAUUGACUAAACCUCUUUCACGAGCAGAACAUGAUCAACACCAGAAAUCUAUGGGUGUUUGAUUCAUCACAAUGUAACUAGAUUAUUGACUCUAGUGCAAAUGGGAGACUUUUGGAAAUAUGCCCUAGAGGCAACAAUAAAAUGGUUAUUAUUAUAUUUCCUUCGUCAUGAUAAUUGUCUAUCGUUCAGGCUAUAAUUGUAUUAACCGGAAAUCAUAAUACAUGUGUGAAUACAUAGACCACAAUGUGUCCCUAGUGAGCCUCUAGUUGACUAGCUCGUUGAUCAAUAGAUGGUUAUGGUUUCCUGCCAUGGACAUUUGAUGUCAUUGAUAAUGAGAUCACAUCAUUAGUAGAAGGAUGUGAUGGACAAGACCCAAUCCUAAGCAUAGCACAAGAUCGUGUAGUUCGUUUGCUAGAGCUUUUCUAAUGUCAUGUAUCUUUCCUUAGACCACGAGAUUGUGUAACUCCCAGAUACCGUAGGAAUGCUUUGGGUGUAUCAAAUGUCACAACAUAACUGGGUGACCAUAAAGGUGCACUAUAGGUAUCUUCGAAAGUGUCUGUUGGGUUGGCACGAAUUGAGACUGGGAUUUGUCACUCCGUAUGACGGAGAGGUAUCUUUGGGCCCACUCGGUAAUGCAUCAUCAUAAUGAGCUCAAUGUGACUAAGGAGUUAGCCACGGGACCAUGCAUUACGGAAUGAGCAAAGAGACUUGCCGGUAACGAGAUUGAAUGAGGUACGGGGAUACCGACGAUCGAACCUCGGGUAAGUAACAUACCAAUGGACAAAGAGAAUUGUAUACAUGAUUGAUUGAAUCCCCGACAUCGUGGUUCAUCCGAUGAGAUCAUCGUGGAACAUGUGGGAGCCAAUAUGGGUAUCCAGAUCCCUCUAUUGGUUAUUGUCCGGAGAGAUGUCUAGGUCAUGUCUACAUGGUUCUCGAACUCGUAGGGUCUACACACUUAAGGUUCAGUGACGCUAGAGUUGUAAUGGGAAAUUAUAUGUGGUUACCGAAAGUUGUUCGGAGUCCCGGAAGAGAUCUCGGACGUCACGAGGAGUUCCGGAAUGGUCCGAAGGUGAAGUUUUAUAUAUGGCAAGUCCAAUUUCAGUCACCAGAAAGGUUUCGGGGGUCAUCAGUAUUGUACCGGGACCACCGAAAGGUGUCCGGGGGUCAAGGUGCCUAGGGUUGGAAACCGUAGGGGGUGGUUGCGCCUCCCACAUGCUUGGGGGGCAAGUCUCCCCCCCUUGGCCACCGCCCCCCUCUAGAUGCAUCUAGGGGGGCCGGCUCCCUCUCCUCUUCACAUUAUAAAUAGAGGGUGAUGGGAGUGCAGCCGCAUCCCUUCCCCUGGCGCAACCCUUCCCCUUCCUACACCUCCUCCUCCAUUUGAGCUUGGCGAAGCUGCGCGGGAGAACCACGACCUCCACCACCACGCUGUCGUGCUACCAGAGUUCUCCCUCAACUUCUCCUUCCCCCUUGCUGGAUCAAGAAGGAGGAUAUGUCCCCGGGCUGUAUGUGUGUUGAAUGCGAAGGCGCCGUCCGUUCGGCGCUUGGAUCGGAUCUUCCGCGAUUUGAAUCGCCGCUAGUACGACUCCAUCAACCGUGUUCUUGUAACGCUUCCUCUUAGCUAUCUUCAAGCGUAUGAAGACGCACUCCCUCUCUCUCAUUUCUAGCAUCUCCUAGAUUGAUCUUGGUGACACGUAGGAAUUUUUUUGAAUUAUUUCUACGUUCCCCAACAAAAGGAUACUUGAAUAAAAGUUUUUCAAUGAAAGACCUAAGAGAAGAUGCUUAUAUAUUGAGCAUCAAGAUCUAUAGAGAUAGAUCAACACACUUGAUAGGACUUUCACAAAGCACAUACCUUGAUAAAGUUUUGAAGAAGUUCAAAAUGGAUCAGUCAAAGAAAGGGUUCUUGCAUGUGUUACAAGGUAUGAAGUUGAGUCACACUCAAUGCCCAACCACUAUAGAAGAUAGAGAGAAAAUGAAAAUCAUUCCCUAUGCCUAAGACAUAGGUUUUAUCAUGUAUGCUAUGCUGUGUACCAGACCUGAUGUGUGCCUUGCUAUAAGUUUAGGAGGGAGGUACCAAAGUAAUCCAGGAGUGGAUCACUAGACAACGGUCAAGAACAUCCUAAAGUACCUUAAAAGGACUAGGGAUAUGUUUCUCGUUUAUGGAGGUGAGAAAGACCUCGUCGUAAGUGGUUACUUAGAUGCUAACUUUGACACUGAUCCGUAUGACUUUAAGUCACAAACCGGGUACGUAUUUAUAUUGAAUGGUGGAGCUGUCAGUUGGUGGAGUUCCAAGCAAAGCAUCGCGGCGGGAUCUACAUGUGAAGCGGAGUACAUAGCUUCUUCGGAAGCAGCAAAUGAAGGAUUCUGGAUGAAGGAGUUCAUAUCCGAUCUAGGUGUAAUACCUAGUGCAUCGGGUCCAAUGAAAAUCUUUUGUGACAAUACUUGAGCAAUUGCCUUGGCGAAGGAAUCCAGAUUUCACAAAAAGACCAAACACAUCAAGAAAAGCUUCAACUCCAUCCGAGAUCUGGUCAAGGAGGGAGACAUAGAGAUUUACAAAAUACAUACGGAUCUGAAUGUGGCAGACCCGUUGACUAAGCCUCUUCCACGAGCAAAACAUGAUCAGCACCAAGACUCCAUGGGUGUUAGAAUCAUUACUAUGUAAUCUAGAUUACUGACUCUAGUGCAAGUGUGAGACUGAAGGAAAUAUGCCCUAGAGGCAAUAAUAAAGUUGUUAUUUUAUAUUUCCUUAUUCAUGAUAAAUGUUUAUUAUUCAUGCUAGAAUUGUAUUAACCGGAAACUUGAUACAUGUGUGAAUACAUAGAUAAAACAUUGUGUCCGUAGUAUGCCUCUACUAGACUAGCUCGUUGAUCAAAGAUGGUUAAGUUUCCUAGCCAUGGACAUGUGUUGUCAUUUGAUGAACGGGAUCACAUCAUUAGGAGAAUGAUGUGAUGUACAAGACCCAUCAGUUAGCUUAGCAUAAUGAUUGUUCAGUUUUAUUGCUACUGGUUUCUUCAUGUCAAAUACAUAUUCCUCCAACUACAGAUUAUGCAACUCCCGGAUACCGGAGGAAUACCUUGUGUGCUAUCAAACGUCACAAUGUAACUGGGUGAUUAUAAAGAUGCUCUACAGGUAUCCCCAAAGGUGUUUGUUGGGUUGGCAUAGAUCAAGAUUAGGAUUUGUCACUCUGAGUAUCGGAGAGGUAUCUCUAGGCGCUCUCGGUGAUGCAUAUCAUAAGAAGCCAUGCAGGCCAUGUGACUAAUGAGUUAGUUGCGGGAUGAUGCAUUACGGAACAAGUAAAGAGACUUGCCGGUAAUGAGAUUGAACUAGGUAUGAAGAUACCGAUGAUCGAAUCUCAGACAAGUAACAUAUCGAUGACAAAGGGAAUAAUGUAUGUUGUCAUAACGGAAGCAGUAGCAAUAAAACUGAACGAUCAUUAUGCUAAGCUAAUGGAUGGGUCUUGUCCAUCACAUCAUUCUCCUAAUAAAUGGAUCUCCAAACGUCUUCUUGUGGCAUAGAUCAAGAUUGUGCUUGUCAUCAUCUAUACUUGGGGCAGUUCUGCUUCCAGUGACCAUUCCCCUUGCAAUAGAAGCACUCAGUCUCAGGUUUGGGUCCAACCUUGGGCUUCUUCACGGGAGCGGCAACUAGCUUGCCAUUGUUCUCGAAGUUCCCUUUCUUUCCCUUGCCUUUCUUGAAAGUAGUGGUCUUUUUUACCAUCAACACUUGAUGCUCCUUCUUGGUUUCCCCCUCCAAUUAGGCCUCCCCUCUCUCCUUUCCAUGGGGAGAGGGGCACCACCUAUAUUGGGCCCUUGUGGCCCAAUUCAUCUUUCACCACUUGGCCUUUUUAAGACCCGUUGAUAUUAAAUUAAAUACAAAAGCCUUCUAACAAUUACUAGAGCCUUUUAUUAAUAAUUUAACAUCCUCUAAAAAAAUUCCAUCUAUAUAUUAUUUAUUGGUAAUACCCGGUAUUGCCCAAUAAACCCCGAAACCCUUCCGGUGACCCUGAAAUGCUUCUGGUUCCUAUCAAAACCAUUUCGAAUAUUAAUGAAACAGUUCCACAAAUAAAUACUCGGUACUAUCAUCCUACUAACACUCAGCAUAUCAUGAUUAUCCUAAGCUUGUGACCCUGUAGGUUCCGUAACACAUAGACAUGAACGAAACUCAUUUGCUCAAUGACCGAUAGCGGAACCGUGGACGUCCAUAUCAAUCACUAUGAUUACAUGAAUGACAUUUGAGUGAAACUUUGGUUAUCAUGUGAUGUCCCUUUACUUUGCUAUACUUUACAAAACCCGAGUUGAGAUAUAUCGGUAUCCUCUUGAUUCUUACACAUGCUCACUAUACCGGUCUCCUCGUUAUCAGUUUUGUUCUUCUUUCUCGUUGCCGUGUUUCGGCAUCCCCGUGACAUUGUCACUUGUGUCUGUCGAGACGAUGAUGAAUGUCGUCACACUGAGAGGGCCCUAAGAAUAUCUCUUCAUCGCUAGAGGAGAAAAUUCCAUUCUCAAGCUGUCUAAUCCCUUGUCAAACUUUCUGAUGCACCUAUAAAUUGUCGUUGUGAUCACCUAGUUACAGAUGAUGUUUGAGAAACCCCAAAGUGCAUCGUACGGCAAGAAGUGACUAUGAUACUCUCAUGGUCUAAGGAACUAAAACACACGUUAACACUCUGUGUUAUAACAAUUGACUUAUGAUGAUAUUAUCUCGAAGUAUAACAAACAAGUUUAGGUCGAUUCAAUAUGAUCGUACUUCUAACAUCAUACUCUCAAUGUUGUUUUAGGACUAUCGUUACACUUAACAAUAUCCUAAGAUCCGGAAAACGUGAUCACCAACAACACUUGAGCUAGUCUUAGAGGCGAGGCGAGGCAUCUUAUUUUACCGUUCAUCAUUUCACAUGUGCAUAUGAGUUUUCUACUAAAUUCCAGGAUCAUAGCAGUUAUAGCAUAUAAUAUAAACUCUUAAUUAUGAACACAGAAAUAUAAGAAUACAAUAUUAUUGCCUCUAGGGCAUAUUAUCGAGAAAGGCUUUCGCCCCGCUUUAUAAAUAAAGCAAACCGCCACAAGAAACAGGUACCAUACAAGAGUUCGCCACACACACACACACACGCACACGCACACACACACACACACACACAACAAGAAGUACGAGGUUCUGCAGAGGGCACAACUCAACAAGCCCAAAGAAACGAAGAAAAGCCAGAAACACCAGAGACACCUUGUGGGGAAAAGGUCGAACACCUAUCAGGUGGCAACAUAGUCGGGCGUGGUGGAGGCAUGGCUGGUGAAGGGAACCAUGCCUGUUGACGCCCACGCCUUCCUGUGGUGACCGUGAGGCAAGGGUUGUGCCAGCAACCCUUGGCAUGCGUCCCUUCUCGUGCUACGACAACGACGCUGAAUGGCCACAUACACUGGCCUCGACGGAUGCGGUGGCGGUCGUGCCUCGGUGGGGAAGUUGGUGAAUACAAUGGGGAAGUUGGUGGAUGCGGCGGCUGUGCCAGCCCCGGUGUUGUCAUGGCCAGAACUGGGUGGCGGUGGCUAGGUGUGGGGGGGAGGGCUAGUGUGGAGGGGAAGGGGAAAAGAAAGGUGGUUGGACAACUAAAGUGCGGGCCAGGGAAGGAAAAGAUGUGCGUCCCGCAUGCAUGUGCCUUGUCUGCGCGGACGCAAACCCGACUCAAGUUUUAGCCGUAAAUGGGUCGCGCCGGACAGAAAAAGAAGGCACAUGUUCUUGUGUGUCGACGCGUUGAGCUGCGUCUUCUGUCCGCUUCGGAGCGGCCAGACGAAAUGGGUCGCCGCAAUGUGCCAUUGGAGCUUCCCUUAAAGCAGGGUCGAAACUCCACAUCAAAUGGGACUCACUAGGUUAGGAUGUGCAGCGCUGCAACUGCAAGUACCACUGAAAAUCACUGAUCGUCCUCAAGGACUUGAUUGAGUCUUGGCAGUUGUUAUUAUUCUAAAUUAUAGACCCCAAGGUGACAACAAUUGGGAUACUCUUCGGGGAUGACUGUAAUUCGAGGAGUUCAUAUAUUCACUAUGUGUUAAUGCUUUGAUUCGGUUCUCUAUUAAAAGGAGACCUUAAUUACCCUGCUAGGAAUAUAUGUUCCUUUCGAUAAAGAAAACGAGAGCGGCAGGGGUUCAGCCGGAAUGUUCCUGGUGCAGUAGCCAAUGUAGAUAGACAGCAUAAAGGAGAGAUGCGCAUCACCGUCAUCUUUAAUCUGAAAACCUAAAAGCAAGCAUCUCGUCAAGUUAAGACCUCCCCUACGUUUGCAUUGUUUCACAAAGACUUGUUAGUUAGGAAGAAUGAGAUUACACGAAUCGAUAAUCAUUGAUCGUGUGCAUGAUGCACAUAUAUAGGUACAGGGUGGACCGGCCUCUACUUGUCUCCCAAGAUAUACAAAUAUACGGGAGGAGAGAGAGAGAUACAACGGUAUAAAUACAGACCCUAGUCCUAUACAUAUGUAGUGUAUAACAUACGCUCAACACCCCCUGCAGUCGAAGCAUCGCCGGAGACACAGAGACUGGACCGAAACUCCUCAAAGACUGGGGUCGGUAGUCCCUUAGUCAUGACAUCAGCGAACUGUUGUGUGGUAGGAACGUGCAGAACACGGACCUUCCUGAGAGCCACCUGCUCACGAACAAAGUGAAUGUCGAGCUCAAUAUGCCUCGUACGGCGAUGGUGGACGGGGUUGGCGGAGAGGUAGACGGCGGAGACGUUGUCACAGUAGACGAUCGUGGCCUUGGAAACCACACAAAGCAACUCCUGAAGAAGCUGACGGAGCCAAGAGCUCUUAGCAACGGUGUUAGCCACUGCCUGAUACUCCGCCUCGGCACUAGAGCGAGAGACCGUGGGUUAUCGUUUAGACGACCACAAUAUUAGUGAGGGCCUUAGGUAGACACAAUAGCCUGACGUAGAGCGACGCGUGUCCGGGCAGCCAGCCCAAUCAGCGUCGGAGUAGCUACCAUGUCGAUGGAGGAGGAGGCCAUCAGGGUGAGUCCCAUGGUCAUAGUGUCAUGUAUAUACCGAAGAAUACGCUUCACCAGAGUCCAACGAGAAUCACGCAGGGAGUGCAUAUGGAGGCACACCUGCUGGACUGCAUACUACAAGUCAGGACGAGUGAGGGUGAGAUACUGCAGGGCGCCGACGAUGGAGCGGUAGAACGCCGCAUCCGGAGCAGGAGAACCCUCCAAGGCAGAAACCUUCGUCUUGGUGUCAACAGGCAUGGAUGCGGUUUUGCAAUUAAGCAUACCCGCGCGCUCAAGAAGCUCAUGAGCAUACUUCUGCUGGUGCAGAAAGAACCCAUCGGCACAUUGGACGACCUCGAUGCCAAGGAAGUAGUGCAGCGCUCCCAGAUCCUUGAGGGCAAACUCGUCACGAAGACGAGCGAGCUGCUGAAGAAGCUCAGACGAGGAUGCCGUCAGGAUAAUGUCGUCCACAUAGAGCAGCAGGUACGCAGUAGCAGUGCCCUGAUGAUAGACGAACAGUGAUGCAUCAGAGCGGGUUGUGUGAAACCCAAGCUGUUGUAAGAACCUAGCCAUCCGCUGGUGCCACGCCCUGGGGGCCUACUUCGGUCCAUAAAGGGACCGAGAGAGCGGGCAGACAUGGUUGGGAUGCGCGGCAUCAACGAAGCCAGUCGGCUGCUCGCAGAAGACCCGUUCUGUGAGGUGGUCAUGCAAGAAAGCGUUGGAGAUAUCCAACUGGUGCACAGGCCAGGCACGGGAGACCGCCAGCUGAAGCACCGUACGAAUCGUGCUCGGUUUAACAACCGGUGCGAAGGUGUCGGUGAAGUCCACUCCGGUACGCUGGCGGAAGUCGCGCACCACCCAGUGAGCCUUGUAGCACUCGAGAGAACCGUCGGGGUUGGCCUUGUGGCGAAACACCCAUUUGCUACUAAUGACGUUGGCGUGAGGGGGUCGCGGCACAAGGUUCCACGUGCGGUUGCGCUGCAACGCAUCAAACUCCUCGCGCAUCGCAGCGAGCCAAUGUGGAUCGUGGAGGGCAGCGCGUGCGGACGAGGGUAUGGGCGACGGUGGAGAGAUGAUGUCGACACCGCGUAUGUGUACUCAUCAGUGGCGUAACGCGUGCUGGGGCGGUGGAUACCGGCGCGAGACCGCGUCGUCAUGCCAGCAAGAGGGGGGCCGGCUGCGGCCGGAGGGACGGACGGGGUUGAUAGAGGGUUCGUCGCUCCCGGCAGCACAGCAGAGCCGACCUGAGCGGGGCGGGCUGCGUCGCUUGGCGGGGUGGUAGCCGAAGGGCCAUCCGGGGCCAUGCACGGCUGCGCCGGGACCGAGGCCGAGGGGCCUGCAGCCGGGGCCGUAGUGGGGGCCGCAGCAGGAGGGCCCGCCACGGAAAGGCACGCCGAGGCCGCGCCGGGGCCAGAAGGGGCCGCGUCGGGGGUUGCACCGGGUCCGUGUCCGAGACACCAUCAUGGAGCACUGAGUCCUCUACUGAAGGUGGUACCUGGUGAAAGGGAAAAAUCCACUCAUCAAAGUACACGUGUCGGGAGGUGUACACUCGGUGGGAGACGGGGUCGUAGCAUCGGUAACCUUUGGUGUUGGGAGGGUAGCCUAGGAAGAUCCAUGCUACGGAGCGAGAAGCGAGUUUGUGUGGUGUAGUGGCGGCGGUGCUAGGGUAACACAAGCAUCCGAAGAUGCGAAGACCAUCAUAGGAUGGAGGAGAGCCUAAGAGAAGUUGAUGUGGGGUGAAGUUCCAGCGAGGACGACGUGGCCUAAUGUUAACUAGGAGAGUGGCGGUGGCGAGAGCAUCGGGCCAGAACCGAGGGGGCACGUUGGAGUGAAACAACAACGUGCGGACGCAGUCGUUAAGAGUGCGGAGGAUCCGCUCGGCACGACCAUUUUGCUGGGAUGUGUAUGGGCAUGUGAGACAAAAGGUAGUGUCGUGAGAUGCGAGAAGGUGACGUGUGGCAGCGUUGUCAAACUCUUUUCCCUUGUCAGUUUGAAGGGCGAGAAUAGGUCGCCCGAACUGGGUGGUGAUGUAGGAGUAAAAGUCCGUGAGAGUGGCAAGAACAUCGGACUUGCGACGGAGCGAAAACGUCCACGCAAAGUGAGAGAAAUCAUCAAGUAAAACAAGAUAAUAUAUGAAGUCCGUGUUGCUCGCAACAGGAGAUGUCCAAACAUCACUAUGGAUUAACUGAAACGGAAAAGAAGAAAUAGUGUUUGACUCGCUAAACAGUCGACGAACAUGUUUGCCGAGACGGCAAGCAUGACAAGUGUCCUCGUCGAAUUUAUUACAUGAAAAUGAAAAACUCUUGAGAAUCUAGCGAAGGACGGUGGAGUUGGGAUGACCCAAGCGUGCAUGCCAAAGGUCGACAAGGGCGGCGAGGGCGACUGGGGCGGUGGUGGGGGGGUGGUGAUGGAGGUGGAGGCGGAGUGCACCAGGUACAAGUCGUCGGGGCUCUCACAUCGGUGGAGCACCAUCCGUGUACAAGCGUCCUUCACAGAGAAACCAAGAUCAUCAAAUUCAGCGGUGAGAGGAUUGUCACGUGCAAGACGACGAACAGAGACAAGAUUUUUAACUAGGUUAGGUGAAACGAGAACAUUAGACAUGUUAAUAGGCAUAGAAUUAGACGGAAAGAAACUAUGACCAACAUGAGUGAUGGGUACGGAGGAACCAUCACCGAAGGUGAUGCGGUUCGAAGUGGUGACCGAGAAGGAAGAGGCAAGGUUACCGGGGUGCGACGUCAUAUGGGCGGUAGCCCCCGUGUCCAUGUACCAAUCACCGCCACCUCCAUAGUUGGAGGGAGACGGCGCCGAGUGGAGUGCAGCAAGGAGGGCGGGAUCCCAUGGAGCCGGAGGGAGCUGAGCCGGCAAAGGCGUCGGCGCGUAGCUGAGGUAGGCGGCCGCCGGAAGAGGUGCAUAGCCACCCGGGGCGUGGCCGCCCGGCGCGUAGCCACCUGGGGCAUAGCCGCCCGUGGCGUAGCCGCCCCCAUCCGCCUGGUGAGGAGCGGCGGCAAGGUGCGCCUGAGGGCCAGCCGGGUGCGGCCCGAGGAUGCCCGAAGCCCGUGGGACCGGCAUGUGGUAUGCGUGAACCACGCCGGUCCAUGGGUUGGGGCCGACUGCCCAGGGCGGGGAGGGCUGAUGGUGGCGUGGAGCCCCCCCGUACCCCGGCUGCUGCUGCUGUUGUUGAGGUCGACCGUCGCCCCCACCCCCACGGCGCCGGUUGCGGCGACCACCGCCCCCGCCCUGCUGCUGUGGAUGAGGAGCGGGAAGUGCGGUCGGGGCGGGCGGGAGGGGGAAGAACCCCGGUGGCGCCGGCGGGCGGGGUUGGGGCGAAGCAGGCGGCGGCGGCCCGCGCGACGUCCUGGCGGCGAGGGCGGUGUGAUGGACCCGGGCCUUCACCUUCUUCAUCCGGCGUUCCUCCAAGCGUAAAUACGCAGCGACGGACUAGAAAGUUGGGUUCGGCAGCAGGGAGAGAUUCGAGGCCACGUUGCCGAAAUCCUCAUUGAGGCCGGCGGUGAGGGUGCUAAGCAUGAGGUUGUCUGACACCUUGGCGCCGAUGUCGCGGAGCUCGUCGGCGAGGCGCUUGAGACACAUGCAGUAGUUGUCAAUGGAGGAGUCAUCUUGAUGGCACCCGAAAAAUUCCUGCUGCAAAAACACUAGACGUUGAAGUUUAUUGUCGGUGAAGAGGUUGUUGAUCUUGGUCCAUACGGCACACACGUCAUCGUCCUCCGAGACGACCGUGUGGAAGAUGUCCGGGGAGACGGUGAGGUAGAACCACCGGAUGUGGGAGGCCUUAAUGGUCGCCCAGUCCGGAUCAUCCACAUGAAGUCGCCAUCCACGGUCCCGUCGACGUGCUCGAGGAGGUGGUACUCGCGGAAGACAAGGUUGAAGUAGGUCUUCCACGCGUAGUUAUGCGCAGUUGUUAUUAUUCUAAAUUAUAGACUCCAAGGUGACAACAAUUGGGAUACUCUUCGGGGAUGACUGUAAUUCGAGGAGUUCAUAUAUUAACUAUGUGUUAAUGCUUUGAUUCGGUUCUCUAUUAAAAAGAGACCUUAAUUACCCUUAGAUUUCCUUAUCGAGACCGCUGCUACAGGAGGGUAGGGACAAAUGAUGGCAUGCAAGUUCUUAUUAUAAGCAUGUAUUACUAUAUACGAAAUACAUGCCUACACUGUAUUGAAUUGGAGUUAUUCUAUAUUGAUCUAGGUUGUGACUGUUAUAUGAUGAAUGUCAUCCAUACAAAUACCCAUCAGCGCCAUCGUUGAUCCAAUGCCUACGCUUUGCUCAAAUUGUCUUUGAUAAGUUAUUAAUGUUACUACUGUUGUUACAAUCACCACAAAAUUGCUAUUGUUACUAUUGCUACGAUUACCACUAGUAUUAAAACUAUCAAACUACUGUGCUACUGAUACUUUGCUGCAGAUAAAUAACGUCUCGGGUGUGGUUGAAUUGACAACUCAACUGAUAAGGCUUAUAAAUAUUCUUUGUCUCCUGUAGUGUCAAAUCAAUUUGGGUGAAAUACUACCCUCGAAGACUUUUGCGAUCCCCUAUACUUUUGGGUCGUCACACGUUAAAGCAAAAAAUCUAAAGUCAUGCUUAACUAAGAAGAAAUACGUGCCGCUAAAGUUACAUACUUAAAAUAUUCGGAGCCCUCCUUAAGCGCGAGGGAGAAGCAUCUACCAUUUUCCAUGUGAGGCCUAUCGCACAUAACCCCAUUGUCGGUACAGUCAUCGCACUCGGGGAUCCUAUCAUCGUCAUCCAUUUGUUAUGUUCGUAAUUGAAAGAUUAAAAAUCGAUGGAAAAUACCAGGAACUCAACACACAUAUCACUAUUCAACACAGGUUGACUUUCGGUCUUUCAAGUCUCCUUUGAAAAACUUUCAUCUCUGAUGGUGUAUAUGGUGGGCACUCCCUUUUUGAUAUUUUGACCGUCGGUGAUGGUCGCUCCUCCCUUCUUUCCUGAAUGCAUUAUCAAAAUGUCUAGCACACUGGAAAGAAGGAGAAGUGACCCCCACCACAACAGUCGGGAUUCUUCCUCACUGAUAUUUAGACCGUAUAUGGUGGUGUAUAUGGUGGACACUCCCUCACUGAUAUUUCGAUUAUCGGUGAUGGUCACAUCCCCCUUCCCUCGUGCAUUAUCAAGGUCUAUCAUGAGAAGAGAAGAAGGAAGCGACCCCCACGACAACAGUCGGGAUUCUUCCUCACUGAAAUUUCAACCGUAUAUGGGGGUGUAUAUGGUGGACACCCCCUCACUUAUAUUUCGACCAUCGGUGAUGGUCGCAUCCCCCCUUCCCUCAUGCAUUACCAAGGUCUAUCACGAGUUGAAGAGGAGAAAGUGACCCUCACGACAACAGUCGGGAUCCUUCCUUCAAGAGUUCGUACUAAAAUAACACAGAGUUAUCCUUUCCGAUCAAUCUACCCAAGAAUUCGUACUAACAUAUGAUAUACAUCAACCAACUCUAAUAUCAUCUAGAUACUUCAAUGCCACUACUCUAUGAUAGGACUCGCUAGGUUAGGAUGUGCAGCACUGCAACUGCAAGUACUACUGAAGAUCACUAACCUCAAGGACUUGAUUGAGUCUUGGCAGCAGCUUUCCAUCAUUUUCCUUUCUUUCCAGAAGGCACUCGACAGCAUCUUUGCGAGACCAUCCCAUCCAGAUCAAAAGUCACCACCAAACAGUACAACUCUAUCCGUAACACAACAAUAAUUCACAUUUAUUCGUUUCCUGGGGGUGGACUCUUUGUAUGGAAAAGUCAGGGGCCGUCGCCCUCAGCUUCACCUGCGACUACGAGGGUGGCUCUUGGGCGGCAACGAACUCGACGGUUGGGUGGCCCGAGCCUCCGACUCGGACUUGGACACAUAAAUGGUACUACAUGUCUAGUCCGGAAACCCGGCGUCAAGGCCUCUCACCAUCAGGUGUUUUUUUUCUACUUUUCCUCUGAAUUCUGAAGGUUUUAAGAGCAACUCCAACCGGGACGCCCCAUUUCGUCUGAUGGCGUUUGUUUGGAUAAGCGCGGACACUAAAGUCGGCCCAACGCGCCGAUCCAAACGGACGCGCAUCCGCUUGGCGUCCGUCUGCCGAUCCAUUCCCGGCCUAUUUAGCCGUAUUUGCAUCGGUGCGGACACGAUACGGACACGCGCGUCUUCUCCUUUCCGAGACCGCUGUUCGGUGGCAGCCUCCAUCAUUUUUCUCCAUUCUACCCAAAAAUCCUUUCGCCCAUGCGCGCUCUCGCCGCACCCCGGCCAUGGUCGACGACCUCGACGCCGCCGCCGGCCUCGCCUCGUNNNNNNNNNNNNNNNNNNNNNNNNNNNNNNNNNNNNNNNNNNNNNNNNNNNNNNNNNNNNNNNNNNNNNNNNNNNNNNNNNNNNNNNNNNNNNNNNNNNNNNNNNNNNNNNNNNNNNNNNNNNNNNNNNNNNNNNNNNNNNNNNNNNNNNNNNNNNNNNNNNNNNNNNNNNNNNNNNNNNNNNNNNNNNNNNNNNNNNNNNNNNNNNNNNNNNNNNNNNNNNNNNNNNNNNNNNNNNNNNNNNNNNNNNNNNNNNNNNNNNNNNNNNNNNNNNNNNNNNNNNNNNNNNNNNNNNNNNNNNNNNNNNNNNNNNNNNNNNNNNNNNNNNNNNNNNNNNNNNNNNNNNNNNNNNNNNNNAAGACCGCCACGCCCAAGCCGAAGAAGGUGCUGACGCCCGAACAGCGAGCAAGGGAGUCGGCCAAGAGGAAGGACCGGAGGCAUGCGGCAGACGCGAGGGAUGAAGCCAUCGCGACGGUCGUCGUCGCCACUGCCGCGCAGCAGCAGGUCACCAACGCCCGCGUCGCGGCGGCAACGAGGGAGGUGCUCUACAUGCUUGGGUUAAACCCUGGCCAGCACAACUUUGUCAACGCUGCCGUGGCCGCGGCUAGCACCGGCUCAUCCGCCUUUUCUCGGAUUGCGGACAUGAAAUGGGUCGGCGUGUUGGGCACACUGCCGACCCAAAUCUAAAACAGGGCGGACGCCGGGCGGGCGGCCGACCCAAACGGAUAAAAAAGGACAAAUUCGAUGUCCGGUUGGGUCGGCCCGUUGGAGUUGCUCUAGGGCCACCUCUAGCGCGCGACUCCAUCCUGUCCGGGUGCGUCCGUUUGGGGUGGAACGGACGAAUAGCGCGGCCCAACGCGCGGCCUCAAAUGGACAAAUGUCCGGAUUCCGUCCGUUUUCGACCCAUCCCGGGCACAAACUUGCGCCGAGUUUGGGUGAAACGUACAUUGCGCGAACGGGCUCGACGCACGCCCUUGUCCCCCCCUGGCCCGCCUAUCGGUGACACUAGCAGUCCCUUCGCUUCCAACGCGUCCAUCCCCUCUCCCUGUCCCACCCCGCCGCUGGCGCCGCCACUAUUCUCUGACCGCCUCCUCAAUGCGCACCCCCCGGCCGUCCAUACCAAACCACGUCUCGACAUGGCCGCCACCACGCCUGCGCUUUCGUCGUAGUUUUGGCCGUCGAUUGGAGGAGAUUUGGCCGUCGCCUUCGUAGCCGGUGGCAGAUGGGAUACGACUGCCAGCGACGUGCCACGGUGGCCACGGCAGCUUCCGACGAGUGCUCCAGAGCUGUAGCCGGCCGCCAGCCACCCCUGCUGCAUCGAGGUGAUCAUUGUGGCCUCUUUGCCACCACGACCGCAAGGUGUUCGACACUUUGCCCACAAAGAUAUGGACAAUGGAGAUGAUUUUUUCUUCCACCACUUCAUUUAUUUAUCGGACGAUUCAUCGUCGGAUGAUAAAGAUCUUGUAGUGGAGAUGUAUUGGUUCAAGACAAUUUCGAUAUGGUUGUAAAACUAUUUUAUUAAAGACAAUUUUAAUUGGGUUGUAAAACUAUUUUUAUUUUCGGACAAUUAUUAUUUAAACGUGUAAACUUGUUUUAAACAUUGAAAUAUAAAUAUAUGGUCAUUUCUGGCCGUGGCGGAGGGGAUGGGACCAAAGGAUGCCGUACUAUUGAAGAUGUGCAGCACUGCAACUGCAAGUACUACUGAAGAUCACGAACCUCAAGAACUUGAUUGAGUCUUGGCAGCAGCUUUCCAUCAUUUUCCUUUCUUUCCAGAAGGCACUCGACAGCAUUUUUGCGAGACCAUCCCAUCCAGACCAAAAGUCACCACCAAACAGUACAACUCUAUCCGUAACACAACAAUAAUUCACAUGUAUUCGUUUCCUGGGGGUGGACUCUUCGUAUGGAAAAGUCAGGGGCCGUCGCCCUCAGCUUCACCUACGACUACGAGGGUCGCUCUUGGGCGGCAACGAACUCGACACUUGGGUGGCCCGAGCCUCCGACUCGGACUUGACACACAAAUGGUACUACAUCCGUCUCGGUGAAUAAGUCAUUCACGUAGUUCUAGAUUAAUGAUUUAACUAUCUAACUAUAUAUUAUAUGUAAUAAAAAAAAUAUUUAGGACCUACAUCCUUGUAGAAAUCUAGUGAUAUAUUUUUCAUAACAUAUAGCACAUAUUUAAUUUCUCAAAUCGAUGACCUAAAACUACGCGAAUAAUUUAUUCACCUAGAUGGAGGUAGUACUAGAGUACAUGUCUGGUCCGGAACACCAGCGUCAAAGCCUCUCACGAUCAGGUGUUUUUCUUCUACUUUUCCUAUGGUCGAUUCUGAAGGUUCUAAGUUCCAACAUGACUGCGACCAGGAGAUGAUUAAGAUUUAAGAGAGUACGGUGAUUAAGACGGUGCUGUGCGUGGUGUCGUCAUCGGCAGGUGGUGGCAAGUACCACCAGAUUCCUUGGUUGCACUUACAUUUUUCUAGAAGACGCCGAUAUGUUCCCGGUAGUAGAUGUAUUUUUCUAAGGCGUGCCGAGGAAUGGAUGUCUUCUUGGCCCGUGUCAGAAUUGCUUUGCUGUGAGGUCAAUGGUCGAAACAACAGUUUUGUUUUUCUACUCUGCUGGAAUGUACGUAUGUCCCCUUAGUUAAAGAAAAGUGGCGGGGGAAUGUUCUUGACGCAAGAGCCAAUGUAGACAACAUAAAGGAGCUAGAGAUGAACAUCACCAUCGCCUUUAAUCUGAAACCCUAAAAGCAUCUCGUCAAGUUAGGACGUCCCCUACGUGUAAAAGCACCACAGAUAUCCUAACUUGCACAAAAUAUGAUGAUUUAGUCCUAAACUUGCAAAAUGCAACCUCACCAUACCCUAACUUGCACCUCAUGUCAUGUUUUAGUCCCAGGCCAAUGACAGAACGACAAUUGGCAGCCAGGUGGCUGGCCCGGUCGGCGCAAGCAGUUUUGCAAAAAAUAUAUAUAUAUCGUUUUCCCUAAUUAACCUGCACUUCACCUAACCUAAAUUAAAUUUGUCGGAAUCGAGUUCGCGUCCGUUCGAGAGGAUUCACUUGGUCUCUGUCGGGGCGACAGAGCUCACGGGCUGGCAGGGCGAUGGUGACGUCACGGACGGAGGCGUCGUCGCCGCCGUUCGCCUGCGGCGUGGAGACGCCGGCAUCUGCUCAUCUUGUCUGCCCGUUCGGUGUCUUCCCUCCUGAUUACUAUGAACUCUGCUUUGCUUUCCUCCCUCUCCUCUCCUCUGCUUUGCUAUGUGGCUCAUCGCGCCGCCGUUUGCGCCGUGCACUGCAGCUCGAAUCAGGGCCAUUGUGCUCGAUCUAAGGUUGUGUAGUGGUGUUUCUUGCGUAUGGUCAUAUAUGGCGAAGUAGAGUUGGGGUUUCGGCCGAUGAUUUUAGGUUUGGGUUCGACAUGAGAGCUAGGGUUUAUGGCGGACAAAUUAGAUGUUAAUGCCUUUGUAAUUGGCUUUUAGUUCUGCUCUAGCUUGUACUCUACUCAAGCAUUUGUUUGUGUGGUUAAAUUGAACUCCUUUUUGCUUUUGAAGAUGUUUUGUACAGAGUAUAAACUGGGCUAAUGGUAUGUGCAGCGAAGUUUUAGUUAAUUGAAUGGUUUUGCUAAUGUAGUAUUUCAUUUAUGGUUAGUUUAUAUUUUGUUCACUGAAUAUGUUUAGUUAUUUGUAGUUCACUGAAUAUGUUCAGUUACUGUAGUUAACUGAAUAUUUUCAGUUAUUGUAGUUAUCAGAAUUCUUCCAGUUACUGUAUGGCGAAGUAGAGCUAGGGUUUCUGCCAAUGAUUUUAGGUUUGGGUUCGACAUGAGAGCUAGGGUUUAUGGCAGACAGAUUAGAUGUUAAUGCCUUUGUAAUUGGCUUUUAGUUCUGCUCUAGCUUGUACUCUACUCAAGCAUCUGUUUGUGUGGUUAAAUUGAACUCCUUUUUGCUUUUGAAGAUGUUUUGUACAGAGUAUAAACUGGGCUAAUGGUAUGUGCAGCGAAGUUUGAGUUAAUUGAAUGGUUUUGCUACUGUAGUAUUUCAUUUAUGGUUAGUUUAUAUUUAGUUCACUGAAUAUGUUUAGUUAUUUGUAGUUCACUGAAUAUGUUCAGUUACUGUAGUUAACUGAAUAUUUUCAGUUACUGUAGUUAUCAGAAUUUUUCCAGUUACCGUAGUUAACUGAAUUUUUUCAGCUUACUGUAGUUAACUGAAUGCCUUAAGUUGUUGUUGUAGUUUAUUAAAUUUGAUGCAUCUUGUUAAUUGAAUUAUUUUCUAUCAACUGAAUAUUCAGUUAACUGAAUAUUGUUUCUCAACUGAUGCAUCUUUGUUUUGGAUGCAGUGUGUGAUGCAGCUAAUGGAGAAAGGGUGGAUAGUCCAUUUUUUACACUGGAACUUGAGCAUGGUGGAUUUUUUUUUGUGGCCCAAUCAGCAACCUGGAGUACUGGAACCCUUCUGUUGAUGUGCUAGACUAUGUUGACUCUGGCACUUUCUCCUAUGCAUUCCUUGAACAACACUUGCUUUGGUUGGGAUAUCCUGUGAGUGAACACAUCAUUUAUUGGUGCAAACCAAAUAAACCAAUCUCAGAUGGUUUGAUCAGAAUUAGCAAUGAUGAGGAUGUGCAGCAUAUGAUCAGAGCUAGUGCUGAGCAUAAGAUGCUUGUAGUCAUGGUUGACCAUACAGAUUUCAUCAGUAACUUCAGGUCUGACUUUGUGUGCACAUUGCCUCUAUCUUUGAUAACAACAACAACUUUUGCAGCAGUAAGUGCAUUCUCUUCCCAUAGCCUAGUUUCAGUCUUUGUGGAAGAUCCCUUGUCAGAGAUUGCAGCAAAUGGAACAGACCCACAGAGUUCACUGACUGAGGGUGCUGAGCACAACAUGCUAACUAAAGAUGGACAAAUAGUUAUUGAAGAUGUAGUUGUUUCAGAUUCUAAUUUUAGUGACAGUGACUAUGAUAUAGAUGAUGGUGAUAAUGAUCUUUAUGAUGACAACAUUGACUUUGAUGUUGAUGAAUAAGUUGAGCAGGAGGAGGAUGAUGUGGAGCCUGACUAUUUGCUUGAGGAUGAAGAUCUGAACCUAUCAACUGAGCAAGCAGAUGAACUUAGGUACAAGUUUAAAGCUUUCAAUGCAAAGGUGGACAUGAUUUCCCCUUUGUUUAAAGUAGGGAUGGUAUUUGCUGAUGUGAUUGAGCUAAGACAUGCAUUGACUGCAUAUUCAGUUAGAAACAGAGUGCAGAUUAAGAAGAUAAAGAAUGACAAGAGGAGACUUGAGGCAGUUUGUGAAAAUGGUUGCCCAUGGUACCUGUUUGCUGGCAAUGACAACAGGACAGGGGGAUUUGACAUCAAGACUUACUAUGGAGAACAUAUAUGCCAAAAGAAAUGGAAGUUAAGGUCACUGACAACAAAAUUCCUGUGCAAGUAUUUCAUAGAUGAGUUCAGAGAUAACCAGAAUAUGUCACUAGGUACAUUUCAAGAAAGAUCACCAAGGAAUUUCAUGUCACCCCUAACAGAUGGAAGCUAGCUAGGGCAAGAACAGCAGCACUUAAGGAGAUCCAUGGUGAUGAAGAAGAGCAGUUUAGUAGGCUUUGGGAUUAUGGGCAUGAAUUGAGGAAUACCAUCCCUGGGUCUACAUUUCUUCUGUCAACUGAGGUUGUUAAAGACAACGAUUUCCCACUAGGUAGGAAAUGUCUGAAAACUCUAUAUUGGUCUUAUGAUGCAUGUAAAAGGGGGUGGCUCAAGGGAUGCAAGCCUAUUAUUUUCAUUCAUGGUUGUCACAUGAAAACUAGGUUUAAAGGAGUGUUGCUUAGUGUAGUAGGUAUUGAUCAUAAUGACUGCAUUUUCCCCAUUGCAAUGGGUUGGGUAGAAGCAAAGUACACAAGUGUUGGGGAUCGUUGCAGAAAUUAAAAAAAUUCUACGCAUCACCAAGAUCAAUCUAUGGAGUGACUAGCAACGAGAGAGAGGGGAGUGCAUCUUCAUACCCUUGAAGACCGCGAGACGGAAGCAUUACAAGAAUGCGGAUGAGGGAGUCGUACUCGAAGCGAUUCAGAUCGCGGUAGAUUCCGAUCUUAGCGCCGAACAACGGCACCUCCGUGUUCAACACACGUGCAUCCCGGUGACGUCUCCCGCGCCUUGAUCCAGCAAGGAGGAGGGAGAGGUUGAGGAAGAGGGCUCCAACAGCAGCACGACGGCGUGGUGGUGAUGGAGUGGCAGUACUCUGGCAGGGCUUUGCCAAGCUCUUGCGGAGGAGGAGAGGUGUUGGGGAGGGGAGGAGCUGCGCCUUGGAUGUGGUGCUGCAUCCCUCCCCUCGCCCCUCUAUUUAUAGGAGAAGGGGGAAGGGGGGACGGCCCCCUCUAGAUGUGAUCUAGAGGGGGGGCCAAGGGGAGGGGGCUUGCCCCCCAAGCAAAGGGGGCGCCCCCUUUAGGGUUCCCCCCCCCCAACCCUAGGCGCAUGGACCCAAGGGGGGGCGCCCAGCCCUCCAAGGGCUGGUUCCCUUCCCUCUACAGCCCAUGAGGCCCUCCGGGAGAGGUGGUGAAAGGAUCGAUAUAGUUGACUAGAGGGGGGGUGAAUAGGCAGCUAACAAUUUUUAAUCUUUUCUUUACCAAUUUAAACUUUGCAACAAGGUAGGUUGUCUAGAUAUGCAACUAUGUGAGCAACCUAUAUGAUGCAAUAACAACUAGCACAUAAGCAAGCAAGGGAUACAACACAAAUAAGCUUGCACAAGUAAAGGCACGAGAUAACCAAGAGUGGAGCCGGUGGAGACGAGGAUGUGUUACCGAAGUUCCUUCCUUUUAAGGGGAAGUGCGUCUCCGUUAGAGCGGUGUGGAGGCACAAUGCUCCCCAAGAAGCCACUAGGGCCACCGUAAUCUCCUCACGCCCUCAAACAAUGCGAGAUGCCGUGAUUCCACUAUUUGUGCCCUUGAAGGCGGCGACCGAACCUUUACAAACAAGGUUGGGGCAAUCUCCACAACUUAAUUGGAAGCUCCCAACGACACCACAAAGCUUCACCACAAUGCACUAUGGCUCCGAGGUGACCUCAAUCGUCUAGGGUGCUCAAACACCCAAGAGUAACAAGAUCCGCUAGGGAUUAGUGGGGGGAAUCAAAUUUCUCUUGGUGGAAGUGUAGAUCGGGGCCUUCUAAACCACUCCCGAGCAAAUCAACAAGUUUGAUUGGCUAGGGAGAGAGAUCGGGCGAAAAUAGAGCUUGGAGCAACAAUGGAGCUUUUGGGGGAAGAUGUAGGUCAACUUUGGGGAAGAAGACACCUUUAUAUAGAGGGGCAAACAAUCCAACCGUUACCCUCCCCCCCAAGCAGCCACGCACAGAGCGGUACUACCGCUUGGGCAGGGCGGUACUACCGAUGAACCAGCGGUACUACCGUUCCCUCCCAGCGGUACUGCCGCGCACACGAGGAUAGCAAAGACCUGGGCCCAGAGCGGUACAACCGCGGAAGUAGGGGCAGUACUACCGCUUGGAGCGGUACUACCGCCACUACUUGCGCUACUAGUACCGCAAAACCCGACAUGAAAAACAGAGGUCUCGAGUCGAGGCGGUAGUAGCCCAGAACCACAGUGGUACUACGGCCGAAGACAGCAAGCGGUACUACCGCUUGGGGAGCGGUACUACCGCUUGACGCGCUUCGGCGGUACUACCGCUGAGGACUGCAGUACUACCGCUGGGACAGGUCAGGGCAGGCAAGGAGAGGAAAGGUAGCUCCAAUGAAGCGGAAAGGAACAGCGGGUGUGAUAAGGAUGUGUACAUGUUGAUUCCACCCUAGCCUUACCAAAGCGGAUCCCCUCUUGAUAGUACGGUGACUCCUAUGAAACUAGUCCACCAACAGAGAAACAAAGGAGCUACACCGUCUUGAAUAAAACACCGAGGGGAGGGAAUCAUCUUGUGCCAAAGGAUGAAUCUCUGAAAAGCUCAACGCACACGAUUAGUUCGCAAAAGCAUUGUCAUCAAUCACCAAAACACCUUGGGGAUAAAUAUGCCCUUACAAUCUCCCCCUUUUUGGUGGAUUGAUGACAAUACGGGAUUUGCACAAACGGGGAAAGACAUAAGACAUGCGCAAAACCCCACCAUCCUAAAAUGUAGUUGGGCUCCCCCUAGAUGUGUGCUAUCUAGAUAAGUGCUUUGGACUGCACGGCACACAUACUAGGAUCAACGCUCCCCCUACAUUUUAGAGACCAACAACCUAAGCAGGGUAUAUAAGAGCAGAGUAAAUAACAUGAUAAGCAUGCAACUCAUAAGCUAGGUAGACAUAGAUAAAGAUAAUCUAAAGAUAAGGUAGCAUAUGUCUCACACCAUAGGUCUGGAACUUAGGUCUCACUGACACAAAACCAAACAAAGCAAACGGCGAAAAAACACACCACAAAGAAGACACACUCGCGAAACAGACAACGACGACACAAAUCCCUAAACUCUCUCCCCCUUUGGUAUCGAGACACCAAAAAGAGAGGGAGUGUUGCUACGGCUCCAGGUGAUAGCAAGGUCGCGAACAUCAGAUCUCAGCGGGAUCGUCUUCGCCACCGUCGUCGGUCGGGAACUGCUCGGCAUCAGAAUCUGUCCGCUGGCAAUGCUGCUGAAUCCAGUCCUCCUCCUCAGUAAGCUGGUCCUCAGAUCCACUGAGAACGGUAGCACCCAACUGACGCAUGAGCUCCUUGUGACGACCCCUGGCCUUCUUCUCAACAACAUGAGUCAUGUACUGGCCGUGAGACUCCAUGCAGAACAGCUUCUUUAUCUUGAGCUUGAGCUUCUUUGCCCAAGAGGGCUCUGCCCCAGAAGGCUCAUAGUCAUCAUCAUCCUCAGCCUCAGCCUCCUCCUCGAUCUCCAUGGCAGCAGCAGACGAUGCACCCCUAGACUUAGGGACCUGAGUGCCCCGGUUGUCCUUCUUCCUCAGACACUUGACCUCAUGAGACACCAACUCUCCAGUCUCUAGCAUAACCUUGGGAUAGACACGAUCCCAGGCCUUCUCAAUAAGUAGCAUGAUGAAUGGACCAUAGAUCGGGCACUUACGCUCAGAGAUGGCAGAUAGGAGUUUAGACCACAUAACAUGAGAGAUGUCCAGGGACUCGCCAGAGUUUUCUUCCUUCUCACGCUGGCAGAAGAGAAGCAUGUCCACAAGAUAGGAAUGAACCAUAUCCAGAUUCCCGAUGCGAGGGAAAAGAGUCUCACGGAAGACAUGGUGAAGAAUAUCCAGAAAGGCAGGCAGCUCAUAAGUUUCCUUCUUAGUCUCAGGGUUGAUCUUCAGCGUGCAAUAGGGCCAUAGAGCUUGCUUGAGAGUGGAGGUUGUGUUGCGGUGAGGGCGAAAGCCGACAGGAGACGCAAGCCCGUGAUCUUCCACCCCAAGCAACCCCAUGAACGCCUUCCACUUGACAGAAAGCAACUUGCCAUUGGUCAUCCAAGUGAGUGUCCUGUCCUCAUCAGUCCCGAGAUGAACUGUGGCAUAUAAUUGGGCCACAAUAUCAGCAUCAUAAUCUUUGUUGAAUUGCAUGAUACCGAGAAUGUUCAGUUGAGUGCACAUCUAAAGAGCUUCACCAAAGUACUCAGGAUCCUUCUCCAUAUAGUCGGUGUCGAUGGAGAGCACGUUAGCAUAGAGGUUCUUCUUGGCCUUGAGCACAUCAAAGAAUAUGGCAAACUGAAACCUGUUCCAGAACGGACGGCUGACCAAAGUGGGAUCUUGGUCUGCCUCAUAGGGGUUGCGGCGACGCCUUGCCCAUAACUCCUUGGCAUUCAUCUCCGGCACGGUUUUGCCAGUUUGCUUCGGCUUGACAGCAGACUUCUUCUUGGGUUGAGGUGGAGGUGGAGCACUUGAGGAACCUCCUGCAGACUCAGUUGUGUGGUAACGCUUUGACGUGGCACGACCGGGGUUGAUACGUCGAGCCUGAUGCUCAGGAUGUUCAUCACCUGGAACCACACACAAGAACACGCAAAACAACCAGAAAGAACAAGCAUAAGCCAACAAACACAACAAAAGGAUCACUGAAUGGUAAGAGCACGAUGGAACUUAGUAGCAAGCGGUAGUACCGCGACCUGUAAGCGACAGUACCGCUCUAGAGAGAGCGGUAGUACCGCUCGAGAUGGGGAAACAGCGGUUUCCUACUGCCGUGGUCAGAUCCGGCACUACCGUCCUACCAAAUUCAAAAAUACUUCUACCAACCACUAAUCCAAACCGCCUAGAUGCCUUCUCCAUCCUACUCAAGCCUAGAUUUGGCCAAAAAUCAAGAGAUGCAACCACUAUUGCCCCUAAGAUGCUAGAUUGGAAAUCUAGACAAGAGAGAGGGAAUGGGGGCAAUACCGGCAUCCAUGGCAAGAGGAUGAGGUGGGGAUCGACUCCACCGAAGGGAAUGGAGAGGGACGCCCCGGAGAAGGAGAUCCGCCGGAGCCCUCCCGCGGCGACAAGUUGCUGGAGAGAAGAAACGGAGCGAGGGGGCGAGCGAAUGGGUAUGGGGGAGAAGAAACCUCCCCCUGCCCCCGAUAUAACCCCCUGACCCCGCCCCGCAGCGGUAGUACCGCGCUGGUGGGCGGUAGUACCGCUUAUAAGCGGUAGUACCACGUACCACCAGCGGUAGUACCGCCCAGCAACAAACAGGCCACUAGACAGAACGGCUAAGCUCAAAAAGAAACGAAAAACAAAGGCACGAAGGAGGAAAGACCAACACGGAAGAAAACACACUAGCAAGGGGCCAAAACACACCUCUUCAAGAGAGGGCGGUGGCCGAGGCCACCUAUGUUUGAGUCAAGAGUUAUGGCGUCGCGAAGAUUUUAACCUUGGACCCAUGACCAAAACUCGUCCUUGAAGCACAAGUACCAUCAAAAAUGGUUAAUGUGAAAGACUAGAUCAAUUUAUGCAUAAUGGGGGGAGGGAGAGUUCAUUGAGAGAACAACACUCCCCCUAUGUCCAUGCCUACACCUAAACUAGACAACAAGUUGAGUGAGGUGGGGUGUGCAAGGGUUCAAGUCACAUUGCUUGAAUCAAUGAUAUUUAGCUCAUGCCUUAACUCGCGAAAUCUUGCUUCAUCCAAGGGCUUCGUGAAAAUAUCUGCAAGGUUAUCAUGAGCGUUGACAUACUUAAGCUCGAUCUCCCCUCGCCUAAUGUGAUCCCGGAUGAAGUGAUACCGAAUUUCAAUAUGCUUCGUCUUGAAGUGUUGCACCGGGUUGAGAGAAAUCUUGAUGGCACUUUCAUUAUCACACCAAAGAGGCACUUUAUCACAAAUGACACCGUACUCCUUUAAAGUUUGCCUCAUCCAUAAGAGUUGAGCACAACUACUACCGGCCGCCACAUAUUUCGCUUCGGUGGACGAGAGAGACACACAACUUUGCUUCUUGGAAGACCAACUCACCAAAGAGGACCCAAGAAAUUGGCACCCUCCGAAAGUGGACUUCCUAUCCACUUUGUCUCCCGCCCAAUCGGAAUUCGUAAAACCUUCAAGCUUGAAGUUUGCUCCUCUCGGAUACCAUAGGCCAAAGUUUGGGGUAUGAGCCAAAUAUCGAAAGAUUCGCUUGACCGCCACAUAGUGGCUUUCCUUUGGUGCGGCUUGAAACCAUGCACACAUUCCCACACUCAACAUGAUAUCCGGUCUAGAUGCACAAAGGUAAAGCAAGGAUCCAAUCAUAGAGCGAUAUAACUUUUGAUCCACCGCUUUACCAUUGGGAUCAAUGUCAAGUUGGCACUUGGUAGGCAUUGGAGUAGAAGCCGGCUUGACAUCACUUAGCUUGAAUCUCUUUAGCAUGUCUUGAGUGUAUUUGGCUUGGUUGAUGAAGGUACCUUCUCUUCUUUGUUUGAUAUCAAAACCAAGGAAGAACUUCAACUCUCCCAUCGAAGAAAUCUUGAACUUAGAGGUCAUGGGAGUGGCAAAUUCCUCAUUGAAAGCUUUGUUAGGGGAACCAAAAAUAAUGUCAUCAACAUAUAGUUGGCACACAAACAACUCCCCUUUGACCUUCUUAGUAAAAAGAGUGGGAUUGAUUUUCCCAACUUCAAAUCCACGAUCUUGUAACAACUCGGUAAGGUGGUCAUACCGCGCACGUAGGGCUUGUUUAAGGCCAUAGAGUGCCUUAUCGAGUUGAUACACAUGAUCCUGUAAGUAAGGAUCCUCGAACCCGGGGGGUUGCUUGACAUAAACCAACUCAUUAAUAGGACCAUUAAGAAAAGCACUUUUCACAUCCAUUUGUUGUAACUUAAAGUUGUGAUGGGAAGCAUAAGCAAUCAAUAAACGAAUGGAUUCAAGGCGAGCAGCGGGAGCAAAGGUUUCACCGUAGUCGAUACCCUCGACUGGGAGUAGCCUUGUGCUACCAAUCUUGCCUUGUUGCGAAUGAUGUUCCCAUGAGCGUCUUGCUUGUUCUUGAAAAUCCACUUGGUUCCAAUGACGUUAUGGUUCCCCGACGGCCGUGGCACCAAUCUCCACACCUUGUUGUACUCGAAGUUGUUGAGUUCUUCAUGCAUGGCAUUGAGCCAAUCUGAAUCUUUGAGCGCCUCAUAGACCUUUUGGGGUUCAACACAAGAGACAAACGCGUGAUGUUCACAAUAGUUUGCUAAUUGUCUACGAGUGCUUACCCCCUUUCUUAGACUUCCAACCACAUUCUCCAUGAGAUGGCCUUUGGUGGUGAGCUUGGAAGCAAUCUUCGCGGCACGACGCUCUAAUUCCUCCUCGGAUGUGGAAGGAGGAGGAUCAACUUGAUUAUCUUGAGAGUUGUCUUGAGCUUGUUCAAGAUCUUGAGCUUGCUCUUGAUCUUGAACUUGCUCGAGGGGGAGAACUUGACCUUGGGCAUCAUUUGGUGGUUCACCACCAUCUUGAGGUUGAUCUUGCCCUUGGUAUUGUUCAUGAGGUUGAGGGCAUUCACUUUGUUCUUCGGAAGUGUGUGGGUCUUGGGGAGGUGAUGGAUCCACUUGAGUGGAGCAUUGUCCUUCUCCUUCGGCCACAAGGGGUUCCUGAAUGGGUAGAAUAUGACCAAUACCCAUUCUUCUUAUGGCUUGGGGAGGAAUUUCAUCACCUACAUCACAAGUACCACUUUGCUCCACUUGGGAGCCGUUAUUUUCGUCAAACUCCAUGUUACAUGUCUCCUCAAUGAGUCUGGUGGACUUGUUGAGGACACGGUAAGCAUGAGAGUUUGUAGCAUAACCAACAAAUAUGCCCUCAUAAGCUCUAGCCUCAAAUUUAGACAAAUGAACACCUUUCUUGAGAAUGAAGCACUUACACCUGAACACCUGGAAGUACUAGAGAUUGGGCUUGUUACCGGUGAGUAUUUCAUAAGGAGUCUUGUUCAAGCCUUUGCAGAGAUAGAGCCGAUUUGAUGCAUGACACGCGGUGUUGAUGGCUUCGGCCCAAAAGUUGUAUGGAGACUUGAACUCCGCCAUCAUGGUCCUUGCCGCAUCCAUCAACGUCCGGUUCUUCCUCUCCGCAACACCAUUUUGUUGAGGGGUGUAUGGAGCGGAAUAUUGAUGCUUGAUCCUCCCAUCACUAAGGAACUCAUCCAAGGUGUAGUUAUUGAACUCAGUGCCGUUGUCACUUCUUAUUGUCAAGAUCUUUGCAUCAUGUUGUCAUUGAGCUUCAUUUGCAAAGUCAAUGACGGUUUGUUGAGUUUCACUCUUCCUCUUGAAGAAAAAUACCCAGGUGUAUCUUGAAUAAUCAUCCACAAUCACCAAGCAAUACUUUCUUCCCCCAAGACUAUCAAAGGAUGGAGGCCCAAAGAGGUCCAUGUGAAGGAGCUCCAAGGGUCUCUUCGAAUAGAUGAUAGUCGUGGGAGGGUGAGCCUUCUCAUGAAGCUUUCCUUCGAUACAAGCACUGCAAGCACGAUCUUUGGCAAAACUAACAUUUGUUAGUCCACGGACAUGGUCCCCUUGAGAAGACUUUGCAACGAUCUCAUAUUGACGUGGGCUAAACGGCGAUGCCAAAGCCAUCCCACAUCAACUUUAGCCAUUAGGCAUGUCACGGUCUUAGUGGGUCGCUCCAAAAAGUUAAUCACAUAGAGACCAUUCUCCACAUGCCCAACAAAGGCUAAUUUAAGAGUCUUGCUCCACAAGAGGGCCACAGUAUCAAUAUCAAAGAAGGUGGCAAAGCCCAUGAGUGCAAGUUGACGAACGGAAAGUAAGUUGUACGCAAGGGACUCAACAAGCAUGACUUUCUCGAUCGUUAGAUCAUGAGAAAUGACAACCUUGCCAAGACCCAAUACCUUAGAAUGUGAGGCAUCACCCCACUCGACAUUGGUGGGCAUAGAUGGGGUCUUUUGCACGUCCACCACCAAGUCCUUGCUCCCGGUCAUAUGAUUUGUUGCUCCACUAUCGAGCAACCAUGAUCCCCCACCGGAAGCAAACACCUACAAGAGAUCAAUGCUUGGUUUUAGGUACCCAUUUAGUAAUGGGUCCUUUGAUGUUAGUAACAAGGGUCUUAGGAACCCAAAUAGACCAUUCAAUGUAUUCAUAAUAAGAACCAACAAAUUUAGCAUAAACAUGCCCAUCACUAGCACGGCACAACACAUAAGAAGGGUUAAAGUCGCCGGAUUUGUUGGAAGAGAUGGCUUUGCCCUUUUUGGCAUCACCACUCUUCGCAUUGUUCUUCUUCUCCUUAGGAGCACCCUCUCCCUCCUUCACAAAAGUUUGCUUAAGCGAGGGAGGUCAUUUGGUCUUGUCAUUCUUCUUCUACUUCUUCUUAUUCUUCUUGGACUUGGGUGAGAACCCAACUCCCUCCUUGGCCACAACUUCCUUUUGAUUGCUCAAAAGGUCAUUUAGGUUCUUCUCACCUUGUAUGCAUGACACAAGGCCUUUCUCGAGUUGUUCCUUCAACUUGGCAUUCUCCUCCACAGGAUGCACAUGCUCACAACACGGGUUAGUAGCAUUUGCGUUAUCAAUUAAGACCAUGUGAGGAAAGGUGGACUUUUCCUUGGUUAGCUUAACUUGGAGUUGAGCAUGAGACUCCUUGAGGUUUGCAUGAGCACCCUUCAAGACCUUGUGGGCCUUGUCAAGUACAUCAAACUCCUCCUUGAGUCUAGCAUGAUCAACCCCAAGUUUAGCCUUCUCGGAAGAUAGCACACGAGACACAACAAUAGCAUGAUCAAGAUCUUUCUUUAAUUUGGCAUGGUCAUCGUUUUGUGACUCCUCAAGAGCCAAAUGAUGCCCACGCUCUUCCUCAAGAGCAUUAGAGAGAUCCGAUAUAUCAUCGGCAUAGUCACGACUAUGACCUUCCAUCUUAGAGAUGGUUUCUUCGUGAGCCUCGAUCAUGUCAUUGGCUUCACCAAGUUGUUCCAAGAGAGCAACAAAGUGCUUCUUGGAUUUGCCCUUGAGCUUACUCAUAAAGGACUCAAAUUCAUUUACUUCCUCAUUAGACCCCUCACUAUCAUCAAUGCCAUCUGUCAAAGAGGGAUUAUAAAUGAUGGUGGUUUUGAUGUUGGGGGUUAACUUCUUGGUGGCUUUAGCCAUGAGGCACUUCGCGGUGAUGUUCUCGUUGGGUGAAUCGAAGAGAGACAUCCGGGGAGUUGUGGCAAUGGCAACGGAUGCCAUGGCCAUUGCUUCACUAUCUUCAUCAUCAUCGUCAUCCUCACGGUAUUCCUCUUGAACCACCAACCCUCGAGUAGGAGUCUUCUUGGUGAAGUUUUUCUUGUUGGGGAAAGACUUGGCUUUGUCUUUCCGGAUGAGCUUGCCACCAUUGUCUUCCCGCUUCUCGUAAGGAAAAUCUGCAACGAAAUGGCUCACAUUGCCACAGUUGUAACAAGUUCUAACUCAUUGCUUGCCCUUGAAGCCACUUGAGUUGUUCUUGUUGAAGUUGGGUCUUGAGUUCUUCUUGCUCCAAAAUUGUCUUGAAGCAAGAGCCAUGUGCUUGUGAUAAUCAUAUUUUGUAUCUUCGGGGUUGCUCUCCUCAUCUUCCUCUUCUUCCUCUUCUUCCACAAUAACCUUGGCCUUCAAGGCAAGGUUGGGCUUCUUUGCCCUUUGAGACCAGAGCACCGCGUUAUCGGCGGUCUUGUCCAAGAUGCUCAUUGCAACGAACUCAUCCAAAACUUCACUUGAGGUCAUGGAGUGGAAGUCCGGUAUUUGACGAAUGACGGAGGACAUGGCCUUGUUGUAGGGCAUCAUGGCCUUGAGGAACUUGUGCUUGAUCCAAUUUUCAUCUGUGUCCUUGCUCCCAUGAUCUCGGAGUGAGACCGCAAGUUUGGUUACUCUCCGAAAGAGCUCACGAGGUUCUUCAUCUCCCUUCAUAGCAAACUCAUCGGCUUCAUCUUGCACCACUUCAUAAUUGGAGCGUUGAAUGCUCACACUUCCCCGAUAGAGACACAACACAAUGCCACGCGUCUUUGGCCACAGCGUAGGGUCGAAGAUGAGAGAGAUCUUCGGGGAGAAUUGAUUCUUGGAUGAUGAAGAGAGCAUUCUCAUUGAAUUGAUUAUCCACGGCUUCUCUAGGGGUGAAGUUGCUUGGGUCAUGUGGAUAGAAACCUUCUUCAAUGAUUCUCCAAAGAUUAGUAUUCACAUGCUUUAAAUGACACUUGAAGCAAUACACCCAAGAAUCAAAAUCCUCAUUUUUCUCAAUCUUAGGAGGAGGACCGGCAUGAUUUAAAUGAGUAGAGGGAAUCAGUCCACCAUAAGUUGGAGGUUCCACAUGGGCAUAGAUGUCGGUGCCAUUUCUACCACUAGUAGAAGGACCCUUUUCACUGUUAGCUUCCCCCUUGUCGGAGGUAGCAUCCGUCACCUUGUUAGUGGGAUCACCCACUUUCAUCGGCGAGGUAGACAGUUUAAGUCCUUCUAGGAAUUUAGUAAACAUGCUUUCAACCUCGGUCGUCAUGGAGUUUUUCAAUGUGUCUAAAGCCACAUUGAAUUCCUCACGAGAGAUCGCGGUUCCCCCAUCGGCCGUAGACGAGGUAGGAUUCACACCAGAGUGCUCCUCCACAACGUCUGUGGUGUCAACCAUACUCUUCAGGCGGCAAAGUCCUUAAUAAAGAGAUGAGGCUUUGAUACCAAAGUUCCUUCCUUUUAAGGGGAAGUACGUCUCCGUUAGAGCGGUGUGGAGGCACAAUGCUCCCCAAGAAGCCACUAGGGCCACCGUAAUCUCCUCACGCCCUCACACAAUGCGAGAUGUCGUGAUUCCACUAUUGGUUCCCUUGAAGGUGGCGACUGAACCUUUACAAACAAGGUUGGGGCAAUCUCCACAACUUAAUUGGAGGCUCCCAACGACACCACGAAGCUUCACGACAAUGAACUAUGGCUCCGAGGUGACCUCAACGUCUAGGGUGCUCAAACGCCCAAGAGUAACAAGAUCCGCUAGGGAUUAGUGGGGGGAAUCAAAUUUCUCUUGGUGGAAGUGUAGAUCGGGGCCUUCUCAACCACUCCCGAGCAAAUCAACAAGUUUGAUUGUCUAGGAAGAGAGAUCAGGCAAAAAUGGAGCUUGGAGCAACAAUGGAGCUUUUGGGGGAAGAGGUAAGUCAACUUUGGGGAAGAAGACACCUUUAUAUAGAGGGGGAAACAAUCCAACUGUUACCCCCCCCCCCCAAGCAGACACGCACACAGCGGUACUACCGCUUGGGCAGCGCGGUACUACCGCUGAACCAGUGGUACUACCGUUCCCUCCCAGUGGUACUGCCGUGCACAUGAGGAUAGCAAAGACCUGGGCCCAGAGCGGUACUACCGCAAAGUAGGGUCGGUGCUACCGCUUGGAGCGGUACUACCGCCACUACUGCCGCUACUAGUACCGCAAAACCUGACACGAAAAACAGUGGUCUCGAGUCGAGGCGGUAGUAGCCCAGAACCACAGUGGUACUGCGGCCAAAGACAGCAAGCGGUACUACCGCGUGACACGCUUCGGCGGUACUACCGCUGAGGACCGCGGUACUACCGCUGGGAUAGGUCAGGCCAGGCAAGGAGAGGAAAGGUAGCUCCAAUGAAGCGGAAAGGAACAGUGGGUGUGAUAAGGAUGUGUACGUGUUGAUUCCACCCUAGCCUUACCAAAGCGGAUCCCCUCUUGAUAGUACGGUGACUCCUACGAAACUAGUCCACCAACAGAGAAACGAAGGAGCUACACCGUCUUGAAUAAAACACCGAGGGGAGGGAAUCGUCUUGUGCCAAAGGAUGAAUCUCUGAAAAGCUCAACGCACACAAUUAGUUCGCAAAAGCAUUGUCAUCAAUCACCAAAACACCUUGGGGAUAAAUAUGCCCUUACAGGUGGCCCCUCCCGGUGGACCCCCGGAACCCCUCCGGUGGCCCCGGUACAAUACCGGUAUGCCCCCGAACAUUUCCGGUGACCGUAUGACAACUUCCCAUAUAUAGAUCUUCACCUCCGGGCCACUCCGGAACUCCUCGUGAUGUCCGGGAUCUCAUCCGGGACUCCGAACAACAUUAGGUAAUCACAUACAAGUCUUCCUAAUAACCCUAGCGUCAUCGAACCUUAAGUGUGUAGACCCUACGGGUUCGGGAAUCACGCAGACAUGACCGAGACAGCUCUCUGGCCAAUAACCACCAGCGGGAUCUGGAUACCCAUGUUUGCUCCCACAUGUUCCACGAUGAUCUCAUCGGAUGAACUAUGAUGUCGAGGAUUCAAGUAAUCCCAUAUACAAUUCCCUUUGUCAAUCGGUACGUUACUUGCCCGAGAUUCGAUCGUUGGUAUCCCAAUACCUCGUUCAAUCUCGUUACCGGCAAGUCACUUUACUCGUUACAUAAUGCAUGAUCCCGUGACUAACCACUUAGUCACAUUGAGCUCAUUAUGAUGAUGCAUUACCAAGUGGGCCCAGAGAUACCUCUCUGUCAUACGGAGUGACAAAUUCCAGUCUCGAUUCAUGCCAACCCAACAUACACUUUCGAAGAUACGUGUAGUGCACCUUUAUAGUCACCCAGUUACGUUGUGACGUUUGGUACACCCAAAGCAAUCCUACGGUAUCCGGGAGUUACACAAUAUCAUGGUCUAAGGAACUGAUACUUGACAUUAGAAAAGCUUUAGCAAACGAACUACACGAUCUUUUGCUAUGCUUAGGAUUGGGUCUUGUCCAUCACAUCAUUCUCCUAAUGAUGUGAUCCUGUUAUCAAUGACAUCCAAUGUCCAUAGUCAGAAAACCAUGACCAUCUGUUGAUCAAUGAGCUAGUCAACUAGAGGCUCACUAGGGACAUGUUGUGGUCUAUGUAUUCACACAUGUAUCACGGUUUCCGAUUAAUACAAUUAUAGCAUGAAUAAUAGACAAUUUCAUGAACAAGGAAAUAUAAUAAUAAUCAUCUUAUUAUUGCCUCUAGGGCAUAUUUCCAACAGUCUCCCACUUGCACUAGAGUCAAUAAUCAAGUUACACUGUGAUGAAUCGAACACCCAUAGAGUUCUGGUGUUGAUCAUGUUUUGCUCGUGGAAGAGGUUUAGUCAAGGAUCUGCGACAUUCAGAUCUGUAUGCACUUUGCAAAUAUCUAUGUCUCCAUCUUGAACAUUUUCACGAAUAGAGUUGAAGCGACGCUUGAUGUGCCUAGUCUUCUUGUGAAACCUGGGCUCCUCGGCAAGGGCAAUAGCUCCAGUGUUGUCACAGAAGAGAGUGAUCGGCCCCGACGCAUUGGGAAUAACUCCUAGGUCAGUGAUGAACUCCUUCAUCCAGAUUGCUUCAUGUGUUGCCUCCGAGGCUGCCAUGUACUCCGCUUCACAUGUAGAUCCCACCACGAUGCUUUGCUUGCUGCUGCACCAGCUUACUGCCCCACCAUUCAAAAUAUACACGUAUCCGGUUUGUGACUUGGAGUCAUCCAGAUCUGUGUCGAAGCUAGCAUCGACGUAACCCUUUAUGACGAACUCUUCUUCACCUCCAUAAACGAGAAACAUAUCCUUAGUCCUUUUCAGGUACUUCAGGAUAUUCUUGACCGUUGUCCAGUGUUCCAUGCCGGGAUUACUUUGGUACCUUGCUACCAAACUUACGGCAAGGUUUACAUCAUUUCUGGUACACAGCAUGGCAUACAUAAUAGACCCUAUGGCCGAGGCAUAGGGGAUGACACUCAUCUUUUCUCUAUCUUUUGUUGUGGUCGAGGAUUGAGCCGAGCUCAAUUUCACACGUUGCAACACAGGCAAGAACCCCUUCUUGGACUGAUCCAUAUUGAACUUCUUCAAUAUCUUAUCAAGCUAUGUGCUUUGUGAAAGACCUAUGAGGCGUCUCGAUCUAUCUCUAUAGAUCUUGAUGCCUAAUAUAUAAGCAGCUUCUCCAAGGUCCUUCAUUGAAAAACACUUAUUCAAGUAGGCCUUUAUGCUGUCCAAAAGUUCGAUAUCAUUUCCCAUCAAAAGUAUGUCAUCCACAUAUAAUAUGAGAAAUGCUACAGAGCUCCCACUCACUUUCUUGUAAACGCAGGUUUCUCCAUAAGUCUGCAUAAACCCAAACGCUUUGAUCAUUUCAUCAAAGCGAAUGUUCCAACUCCGAGAUGCUUGCACCAGCCCAUAAAUGGAUCGUUGGAGCUUGCAUACCUUGUUAGCAUUCUUAGGAUCGACAAAACCUUCCGGCUGCAUCAUAUACAAUUCUUCCUUAAGAUAGCUGUUAAGGAAUGUCAUUUUGACGUCCAUUUGCCAUAUCUCAUAAUCAUAGUAUGCGGCAAUUGCUAACAUGAUUCGGACGGACUUCAGCUUCGCUAUGGGAGAGAAAGUCUCAUCGUAGUCAACCCCUUGAACUUGUCGAUAACCCUUAGCGACAAGUCGAGUUUUAUAGAUGGUAACAUUACCAUCCGCGUCUGUCUUCGUCUUAAAGAUCCAUUUAUUUUCUAUCGCUCGCUGAUCAUCGGGCAAGUCUGUCAAAGUCCAUACUUUUUUUCAUACAUGGAUCCUAUCUCGGAUUGCAUGGCUUCAAGCCAUUUUUUGGAAUCUGGGCCCGCCAUCGCUUCUUCAUAGUUCGAAGGUUCACCAUUGUCUAACAACAUGAUUUCCAGGACAGGGUUGACAUACCAUUCUGGUGUGGAAUGUGUCCUUGUGGACCUACGAAGUUCAGUAGUAACUUGAUCCGAAGUACCUUGAUCAUCAUCAUUAACUUCCUCUCUAGUCGGUGCAGGCACCACGGGAACAUCUUCCUGAGUUGCGCUACUUACCGGUUCAAGAGGUAGUACUUCAUCAAGUUCCAUUUUCCUCCCACUUACUUCUUUCAAGAGAAACUCUUUCUCCAUAAAGGACCCGUUCUUGGCAACAAAAAUCUUGCCUUCGGAUCUGAGGUAGAAGGUAUACCCAAUGGUUUCCUUAGGGUAUCCUAUGAAGACGCAUUUUUCCAACUUGGGUUCGAGCUUUUCAGGUUGAAGUUUCUUGACAUAAGCAUCGCAUCCCCAAACUUUUAGAAACGACAGCAUAGGUUUCUUCCCAAACCAUAAUUCAUACGGUGUCUUCUCAAUGGAUUUAGACGAUGCCCUAUUUAAAGUGAAUGUAGCUGUCUCUAAAGCGUCUCCCUAAAAUGAUAGCGGUAAAUCGGUAAGAGACAUCAUAGACCGCACCAUAUCCAAUAGAGUGCGAUUACGAUGUUUGGACACAUCGUUACGCUGAGGUGUUCCGGGCGGCGUGAGUUGUGAAACAAUUCCACAUUUCCUUAAGUGUGUACCAAACUCGUGACUUAAAUAUUCUCCCCCACAAUCUGAUCGUAAGAACUUUAUUUUUCGGUCACAUUGAUUCUCUACCUCAUUCUGAAAUUCCUUGAACUUUUCAAAGCUCUCGGACUUGUGUUUCAUUAAGUAGACAUAUCGAUAUCUACUUAAGUCAUCAGUAAGGGUGAGAACAUAAUGAUAGCCACUGCGAGCCUCAACGCUCAUUGGACCACACACAUCAGUAUGUAUGAUUUCUAAUAAGUUGGUUGCUCGCUCCAUUGUUCCGAAGAACGGAGUCUUGGUCAUUUUGCCCAUGAGGCAUGGUUCGCACGUGUCAAAUGAUUCAUAAUCAAGAGACUCCAAAAGUCCAUCUGCAUGGAGCUUCUUCAUGCGUUUGACACCAAUGUGACCAAGGCAGCAGUGCCACAGGUAUGUAGGACUAUCAUUAUCAAUCUUACAUCUUUUGGUAUUCACACUAUGAAUAUGUGUAACAUCACGUUCGAGAUUCAUUAAGAAUAAACCAUUGACCAGCGGGGCAUGACCAUAAAACAUAUCUCUCAUAUAAAUAGAACAAGCAUUAUUCUCAGAUUUAAAUGAGUAGCCAUCUCGUAUUAAACGAGAUCCAGAUACAAUGUUCAUGCUCAAAGCUGGUACUAAAUAACAAUUAUUGAGGUUUAAAACUAAUCCCGUAGGUAAAUGUAGAGGUAGCAUGCCGACGGCGAUCACAUCGACCUUGGAACCAUUCCCGACGCGCAUCAUUAGCUCGUCCUUCACUAGUCUCCACUUAUUCUGCAUCUCCUGUUUUGAGUUACAAAUAUGAGCAACCGCACUGGUAUCAAAUACCCAGGAGCUACUACGAGUAUUGGUAAGGUACACAUCAAUAACAUGUAUAUCACAUAUACCUUUGGUGUUUCCGGCCUUCUUAUCCGCUAAGUACUUGGGGCAGUUCCGCUUCCAGUGACCGUUUCCCUUGCAAUAAAAGCACUCAAUCUUAGGUUUGGGUCCGUGCUUUGGCUUCUUCCCGGCAACUGGCUUACCGGGCGCGGCAACUCCCUUGCCGUCCUUCUUGAAGUUCUUCUUACCCUUGCCUUUCUUGAAACUAGUGAUUUUAUUGACCAUCAACACUUGAUGUUCCUUUUUGAUUUCUACCUCCGCUGAUUUCAGCAUUGAAAAUACCUCAGGAAUGGUUUUCACCAUCCCCUGCAUAUUGUAGUUCAUCACAAAGCUCUUGUAGCUAGGUGGGAGCGAUUGAAGGAUUCUGUCAAUGACCGCCUCAUCCGGGAGGUUAAUGUCCAGUCGAGACAAGCGGUUGUGCAACCCAGACAUUUUGACUAUGUGCUCGCUGACAGAACUAUUUUCCUCCAUCUUACAACUGUAGAACUUGUCGGAGACUUCAUAUCUCUCGACCCAGGCAUGAGCUUGGAAAACCAUUUUCAGCUCUUGGAACAUCUCAUAUGCUAUGUGCUGCUCGAAACGUUUUUGGAGCCCCGGUUCUAAGCUGUAAAGCAUGCCGCACUGAACGAGGGAGUAAUCAUCAACACGUGACUGUCAGGCGUUCAUAACGUCUGCAUUCGCCGGGACGGGUGCUUCACCUAGCCGUGUUUCUAGGACAUAUGCUCUCUUGGCAGCUAUGAGGAUGAUCCUCAGGUUCUGGACCCAGUCCGUAUAGUUGCUACCAUCUUCUUUCAGCUUGGUUUUCUCUAGGAACGCGUUGAAGUUGAGGUUGACAUGAGAGUGGGCCAUUUGAUCUACAAGACAUUUUGCAAAAGUUUUUGGACUAAGUUCAUGAUAAUUAAGUCCAUCUAAUCAAAUUAUUUAAUGAACUCCCACUCAGAUAGACAUCCCUCUAGUCAUCUAAGUGAUACAUGAUCCGAGUCAACUAGGCCGUGUCCGAUCAUCACGUGAGACGGACUAGUCAUCAUCGGUAAACAUCUUCAUGUUGAUCGUAUCUUCUAUACGACUCAUGUUCAACCUUUCGGUCUCUUGUGUUCCGAGGCCAUGUCUGUACAUGCUAGGCUCGUCAAGUCAACCUAAGUGUUUUGCAUGUGUAAAUCUGGCUUACACCCGUUGUAUGUGAACGUUAGGAUCUAUCACACCCGAUCAUCACAUGGUGCUUCGAAACAACGAACUUUCGCAAUGGUGCACAAUUAGAGGAAACACUUUCUUGAAAUUAUUAUGAAGGAUCAUCUUAUUUACUACCAUCGUUCUAAACAAAUAAGAUGCAAAAACAUGAUAAACAUCACAUGCAAUCAAAUAGUGACAUGAUAUGGCCAAUAUCAUUUUGCUCCUUUUGAUCUCCAUCUUCGGGGCGCCAUGAUCAUCAUCGUCACCGGCAUGACACCAUGAUCUCCAUCAUCGUGUCUCCAUGAAGUUGUCUCGCCAACUAUUACUUCUACUACUAUGGCUAACGGUUUAGGCAAAAAGUAUAGUAAUUACAUGGCAUUAUUCAGUGAAACGCAGGUCAUACAAUAAAUAAAGACAACUCAUAUGGCUCCUGCCGGUUGUCAUACUCAUCGACAUGCAAGUCGUGAUUCCUAUUACAAGAACAUGAUCAAUCUCAUACAUCACAUAUAUUUCAUUCAUCACAUCAUUUUGGCCAUAUCACAUCACAAGGCAUAUGCUACAAAAACAAGUUAGACGUCCUCUAAUUGUUGUUGCAUGUUUUUACGUGGCUGCUAUAGGGUUCUAGCAAGAACGUUUCUUACCUACGCCAAAACCACAACGUGAUAUGCCAAUUUCUAUUUACCCUUCAUAAGGACCCUUUUCAUAGAAUCUGAUCCGACUAAGGUGGGAGAGACAGACACCCCCUAGCCACCUUAUGCAACUAGUGCAUGUCAGUCGGUGGAACAUGUCUCACGUAAGCGUAUGUGUAAGGUCGGUCUGGGCCCUUCAUCCCACGAUGCCGUCGAAACAAGGUAAGACUAGUAGUGGCAAGUAAAUUGACAAAAUCUACGCCCACAACAAACUUGUGUUCUACUCGUGCAUAGAAACUACGCAUAGACCUAGCUCAUGAUGCCACUGUUGGGGAUCAUUGCAGAAAUUAAAAAAAAUCUACGCAUCACCAAGAUCAAUCUAUGGAGUGACUAGCAAUGAGAGAGAGGGGAGUGCAUCUUCAUACCCUUGAAGACCGCGAGACGGAAGUGUUACAAGAACGCGGAUGAGGGAGUCGUACUCGAAGCGAUUCAGAUCGCGGUAGAUUCUGAUAUUAGCGCCGAACAACGGCACCUCCGCGUUCAACACACGUGCAGCCCGGUGACGUCUCCCGCGCCUUGAUCCAGCAAGGAGGAGGGAGAGGUUGAGGAAGAGGGCUCCAACAGCAGCACGACGGCGUAGUGGUGAUGGAGUGGCAGUACUCCGGCAGGGCUUCGCCAAGCUCUUGCGAAGGAGGAGAGGUGUUGGGGAGGGGAGGGGUUGUGCCUUGGAUGUGGUGCUGCAGCCCUCCCCUCGCCCCUCUAUUUAUAGGAGAAGGGGGGAGGUAGGCCGGCCCCCUCUAGAUGAGAUCUAGAGGGGGGCAAGGGGAGGGGGCUUGCCCCACAAGCAAAGGGGGCGCCCCCUUUAGCCCCCCCCCCCCAACCCUAGGCGCAUGGGCCCAAAGGGGGGGUGCCCAGCCCUCCAAGGGCUGGUUCCCUUCCCUCUACAGCCCAUGAGGCUCCGGGAGAGGUGGCCCCUCCCGGUGGACCCUCGGAACCCCUCCGGUGGCCCCGGCACAAUACCGGUAUGCCCUCGAACAUUUCCGGUGACCGUAUGACAACUUCCCAUAUAUAAAUCUUCACCUCCGGACCAUUCCGGAACUCCUCAUGAUGUCCGGGAUCUCAUUCGGGACUCCGAAAAACAUUCGGUAAUCACAUACAAGUCUUCCUAAUAACCCUAGUGUCAUCGAACCUUAAGUGUGUAGACCCUACGGGUUCGGUAAUCACGCAGACAUGACCGAGACAACUCUCUGGCCAAUAACCAACAACGGGAUCUGGAUACCCAUGUUGGCUCCCACAUGUUCCAUGAUGAUCUCAUCGGAUGAACCACGAUGUCGAGGAUUCAAGUAAACACGUAUACAAUUCUCUUUGUCAAUCGGUACGUUACUUGCCCGAGAUUCGAUCGUCGGUAUCCCAAUACCUCGUUCAAUCUCGUUACUGACAAGUCACUUUACUCAUUACAUAAUGCAUAUCCCGUGACUAACCACUUAGUCACAUUGAGCUCAUUAUGAUGAUGCAUUACCGAGUGGGCCCAGAGAUACCUCUCCGUCAUACGGAGUGACAAAUUCCAGUCUCGAUUCAUGCCAACCCAACAGACACUUUCGGAGAUACCUGUAGUGCACCUUUAUAGUCACCCAGUUACGUUGUGACGUUUGGUACACCCAAAGCAAUCCUACAGUAUCCGGGAGUUACACAAUCUCAUGGUCUAAGGAACUGAUACUUGACAUUAGAAAAGCUUUAGCAAACGAACUACACGAUCUUGUGCUAUGCUUAGGAUUGGGUCUUGUCCAUCACAUCAUUCUCCUAAUGAUGUGAUCCCGUUAUCAAUGACAUCUAAUGUCCAUAGUCAGAAAACCAUGACCAUCUGUUGAUCAACGAGCUAGUCAACUAGAGGCUCACUAGGACAUGUUGUGGUCUAUGUAUUCACACAUGUAUCACGGUUUCCGAUUAAUACAAUUAUAGCAUGAAUAAUAGACAAUUAUCAUGAACAAGGAAAUAUAAUAAUAAUCAUUUUAUUAUUGCCUCUAGGGCAUAUUUCCAACAACAAGUUCUUGGGAGUGGUUUCUCACUACAUUGAGAGAUGACCUUAACAUCACAAAUACUACUCCUUUCACUAUUAUGAGUGACAAGCAGAACUGUUUGAUCAAUGAUGUGCAAAAAAUCUGGCCAGAUGCUGAGCAUAGGUUUUGUGUUAGGCAUAUUUAUCAGAAUUUCAAUAAGAAGCACAAAUGAGAGUUGCUGAAGCAAGAUAUGUGGGUCAUUGCAAGAGCACCAAACAGGGUGAAGUGGAUCCAAAACUAUGAGAAAAUGGAUGGACAUAGUGCAGUUGCCUUCCACUUGACUGAAAGACUUGAUCCAAAGACAUGGUGUAAAGCAUUUUCUAGUGUCUUUUCCAAGUGUGAUAUUCUGUUGAACAAUAACUCUGAAGUAUUUAACAGGUAAAUCAUUUGCAACAGUUUGUGAAGUACGUACCUCUUCCUAUGCAUUAAUUUUGUUAUAUUGUUGCAACAUUCUAUGACAUGAUACUAAUCAGUAAUGGUGCAACAUUUGUUGCAACUACAUUCUGGAGGACAGAGAGAUGGCAGUAUUGUCAAUGCUGGAAUACAUUUUUUACAAGAUCAUGCAAAGGCUAGUGAGUAAACAGAGAGAGGCCAUAGAGAAGUGGGCAGGGCAGAGAAUAUGCCCAAAGAUCAAGAAGAAACUAGACAAGAACACUGAGUUUGCUACUAAUUGCCAUGUCUUAGAAGCUGUCCAACAAUUGUUUAGAGUUCAGUCUGGUAACUCUAGUUAUACAGUUGACUUGUGCUUGCACACUUGUGACUGCAGGAGAUGGCAGCUGUCUGGAGUACCAUGUGGCCAUAGUAUAGCAUGCUGCAGGGAGGAGAGAAUUGACCCCGAGACAAUGGUUCAUGACUGCUACACUUUGGAGAAUUAUCUAAAAGCAUAUGGAUACACUCUGGUUCCACUUAGAGAUCCAAAGCAUUGGGAGAAACAGAAUGGUUACAAAGUAUAUCCACCAGUUUUCACUAAACGGUUGGGAAGGCCAAAGAAAAACAAGAAGAAAACACCAGAAGAGAAGAGAAGUAAGAAUGGUGUUAGAUAUUUGAACAAAAAAAGGUGUGACAAUGCACUGCUCAAUUUGUGGCAGAGCUGACCACAACAGGAAGGGGCACUACAGAUUGUAGGAAGCACUAAUUGCAGAAGAUAGAGCUUGUUGAUGAGAACUAUGAUGACCCAACAUUCUUCAGUUAUGCUUCAGUUGCAUCUUAUUUUUUAUAGUUGGCUCUACUGCAUGAAAUGUGGUUAAUUGCCUAAAUUUAGCUUUUCUUUUCUUUGCAGAACAUCUUUCCGAACAGGCCAGAUCCUAGGUUGGAUCCUAGUGAGUCACCAACCAGUAUGGUUCUAACAUGGCCAGCAGGGAAAGAGCAAGAAGAGCACCUCAAAGGGUCCAUGGCCCACUGCCUGAGCUCUCUUCAUUUGUUGUUGCUGUUGGGGCUGAAAUAGGAUAACCCAGGGUCACUACAGAAAUGAAUAUUGCUAGGCAGACAAGGGCAAGAACUGAAGCUGACAGUGGAAGAGGAAAGAAAAGGAGAGGCAGAGGAGAGGGAAAUCCAAGUGCAAGAAGAGGAAGGGGAGCAAGUGCAGUCUCAGCUCCAGGAAGAGGUGCCAGUGCAGAUGCAGCUCCAGGAAGAGGGAGAGGAGCAAAUGCAGAAGCUGGGAGAGGGAGAGGUGCAAAUGAUGGCAGGCGACGAGGCCGGGAACGGUGGUGGCGCCGGCGAUGGCGGGGGUGGAGGGCGGAGGGAGGGCGGGGCAAGAGGAAAUUGGUUGUGUCCCCGACGGGCGGGGCGGGGGGACAAAGGCACGUGUGUCCGUUUGGACACAAACACGGUCUGAAAUGGGUUGAAACUGGACUGAAAACGGAUAUUGGUCCAUUUGUUCCCGCGCGUUGGACCGCGUUUUCUAUUGUUUACCCCAAACGAACGCGGCCGAACCAUUUGGGGUCGUGCGUUGGAGUUGGCCUGACUGACUUGGUAUCCCAUCGAGACAUUGGAGGCGGGUACGGGGGUCCGGAAACUGCACAUCAAAUACGACUCGCUAGGAUAGGAUGUGCAGCACUGCAACUGCAAGUACUACUGAAAAUCACUAACCCCAAGAACUUGAUGAGUCUUGGCAGCAGCUUUCCAUCGUUUUCCGUUCUUUCCACUCCAGAAGGCACUCGGCAGCAUCUUUGAGAGACCAUCCCAUCCAGACCAAAAGUCACCACCAAACAGUGCCACUCUAUCCGUAACAAUAAUCCACAUUUAUUCGUUUCCUAGGAGUGGACUGUUUUUAUGGCAUGCUGGAAAAGUCAGGGGCCGUCGCCCUCAGAUUCACCUACGACUACGGACUACGGCCGAGGGUCGCUCCUGGGCGGCAACCAACUCGUCCAGAACAGAACCCCAGCGCCAAAGCCUCUCACGAUCAGGUGCUUUUCUUCUACUUUUCCUUUGGUCAAUUCUGAAGGUUCGAAGUUCCAACAUGACUGCGACCCGGGGAUGAUUAAGAAAAUUUACUAGUAACAGAGUAGGGUGAUUAAGAUGGUUUGCUGUGCGUCGCGUCGUGCCGUCGUCGACAGGUGGUGGCAAGUACGUAGUACGUACGUACCACCAGAUGCUAGGAGAUUCCUUUGGUUGCACUUUGUUUUUCUAGACUACUAGAAGACGAUGACGCGUGUCCGUUCUUGCCAGCGGCGUUUUUCUAACCGUGUUCAAUGGCCCGUGUCAGAAUUGUUUUGUUGCGUGGUCAAUGGUCGAAGUAACAGUUCAGAAUUGUUUUGCUGCGUGGUCAAUGGUCGAAACAACAGUUUUUCUACUCUGCUGGAGGAGCACAUAUGUUCCUUUGGUUAAAGAAGAGAGAGUGGCAGGGGGGCUGCCGGAAUGUUCCUGAUGUGGAUGGACAGACAUAAAGGAGAGAUGAGCAUCGUCGUCGACCGUCGUCUUUAAUCUGGAACCCUGAAAAAGCAUCUCGUCAAGCGCGUUCCCAUUGUUUCACAAAGACUUUUCCACCUCCAGAAACCAAGCUAUUUUGUUUUUCCAAGGCGACAUGGGAUGGGAUGGGCGCGCGGGAGACACGAAGAGGAUUUGGCGCCCUGCAAAAUUUGAAGCGUGGUCCUGCACUGCUCCCUCCCUCCGCAACCGAUUCAGAGCGAGCGAGCAGGCGUCCCUCCCGCGAUCUCCCCCGAUCAGCCAUCACAUGGGCGCAGGGGGUCCAGACUCCGGAGGCAACAUGUGACCCGCCACCGUCGUUUACCCGCGAGAACUGGGAUCCUCGACGAUCUGGGGAGGGCACGGCCAAAAUUGCAGGUGGCCCAGCCUACCAGAACCAUUGAAACCCACCCUGACAUCGGUCAGUUCCGUGCACAGCACAAACACGUACGCACGCACGCUGCUAUGCUAGGGUCCUAGCGCUGUCGCGUCCACGAUGAACCAACCAGGAUGCCGGUUUUCGUUGAGCGCUUGCCAUCUACUUCCUCCGUUCCGAAUUACUUGUCGCACGUAUAGAUGUAUUUUAAUUCUAGAUACAUCCAUUUCAGCGACGGGUAAUUUGAAACGGAGGGAGUACCAGGGCCAACAAAUCGUACCGGCUGCUACGACGGGAUUGGGUCAUCUAGACAGCAACUACACUAGAUAUCUUUGAAUCAUAAUCAUCAUCAAGCGUGUACAGAACCACUGGUUUUGCUCUCUCGAUCGAUGGAUCCCAUCCCAACAUGGAUGUACCUCCCAACUGUUAAUCAACAAUGAGAAGCAAUGAUGAGGAGCAGGCAAGUCGCUACGCUCAUCAGGCGAAAUUCAAUUCAGUUUCCCUCCCUGUCAAAACAGUCUCACUCGCCCCGCCGAAAGCCGAAAGCCGUGCCACCCGACCCGGCUCGAGACGGACACACCACGCAGUAGCUUUCAACAACAAAUGGAGCCAUCCAGGGCACCAUGCAUGACCCACACACACAGCCAAACUGGACAUGCCCAUCGGCAACAACUGGAUCCACAGGACAGACACCAGGCAGGUAAACUCACCAAUGGUUUUGGCCAACGAGUUCCGGGCAAUUUGAUCGGGCUGAGUAAUUACAUGGGGACAGCUAAAGAACCAACCUAAUCAGCUAGAACAAUAGCUAGACGAAUCAAGCAAUCGCACAGUCGGGCAUGCAUGCAUUCCAUCCCUAAACACCACCACCACGCAAUCACCCACCACACAACAGACACAGUCAGUCAACAACACCAAGACGACGACGACGACGACAACGAAUCCGAUGUUCGCUAAAAGGAAGAGAUGAGAAAACAGCCGGCUCCGCCGUCGAAGAAGAAGAUAGACAGCAUUCGUCAGGUCUAUGAACGGAAUGAAUGUGGGCUGCAGCGACGAGCACAGCCGGCUCCUUUCUCUUGGGCCAUUUGAGAUCAC
rnacentral:lncRNA from 1 species